CGGAUUAGAAAGACAAGCACAAGGGAUCGAGUAGUAGCAGCAACAGGAACAACUAUUUCAUCUCACACACCAAAGGAUAUACAUCUCAGUGUGGUUAUACAACUCGGAGAACGCAGCUAACACGAUAGCAUCGUCGACAACAACUCCAACUCCAACACCAACAAAAAGCAGCAAGCAACAAAAGCAACGAAUACGAUCUAACCGUAGCAAACCUAAUCGAAACAAAGCCAGCAGCAGCAGAUCUACAUGGACGAGGGGAGGAAGAAGAAGAAGUCAGCAGCCACGAGUCAACCCCUGAUGUGGCGAACCUUGUGCCAGGUCUUCUUGCAGGUCUCCCCCACCACCUUCAUCCCCUUCUUCACCAGGUGCUUCAACUCCUUGGCUCGCUCCUUCACCUGCUCCUCGAAGCCUCCGGCCAUGGCGACCUCUCACGCUGUGUUCCUUCCCACCCAGAUUCCACUUCUUUAAUAGGGAUAUCUAUGUGUGCAUCGCUCUCUCCCUCUCCAUACUUUUAUUUUUUAUUUUUAUUUUUUGUAAUGUAUACGUAUCCAGUGGUGGGAUUUGAAAUAUGCCGUGAUACGUGCCAUGCACCGUUGGGAUGAUCAUGGUUUGCACGAUUUCCGGGCUUUUGAAAAAGAUAGCAGUGACCGAGUUGGAUAGCAGAUAAGAACAGGGUGUAAAGCAAAGGCUCUUUUACAGAGACGAGACAGAGAUGAUGAAGGUAAAACAAAUACCAUCGAAACACGUUAUAAUCCUAGCAAAACAUGCGACAUAAACGUAGAAUGGACCACAACCCCGGACUCGGUGGCUGUCACUGCAUCAUCCUGUGACAAGGUUGUGGGCACCAGCUCUGCAACGCUCACAUGAAUGCAAGAUUGCUUCGUACAGAUCCCGCGGAUCCAUGCAAAACGGUGGGGGUGACAAUAAUACGUCCGACCUAAAAUUGAUCAGGUGGGGUGCAGGUCCUUUUUGUCCCAACUCUUAUAUUUCAGUUUUAAAUUUGGAUCGAAUCUUCAUCUCAAAGUUCAAAUAUAUUAUUAUUAUUAUUAUUACAAUAAAAUUAGAUCCCUCUCGUCUCAUCAAGAUUAUAUGCGAUUUGCAUGUUAUUUGAUGUUUUUUCUAUAUAGAUUAAUUAUUAUGAUUUAAUGGAUCAAAAUAUUUAAAUUUAAAUUCAUAUAUUCAUCAAAUCUUUAUUAGUUAAUCUUAAUUUUUACUCACUUUUAAUAUAAACUUUGACAUCAUUAAUCCAACCAAUGGUCCAAAAAAGACACCAACAGUUUAUAAUGGUGUAGCCAUUUUAAUCUUUGUUAGCCAUACGAAUAUAAGAUAUAUUCUCAAAUGAAGACAGAUCAAUUAUGACCCACAAAAUGGAAUGCAAAUGGUUUGCUGGCAUCGAAGGGGCAAAACCUCAGCUUAAAAGGAAUGCAGCUGGUGAAUACAUGUCAAUGAAAACAGUAACAUACUCCAUAUGAAAGUCGGCGAUGCCACCUGCUAUCAAUUUUGAACUUUCCUAGGAAACCUUUAGUAGAUAUUUCUCCUUUACCCAAAGGAAGAACACAUUUUAGUCAGCAUAUGCAUUUGACAAGAUAGUCCGUUUGAUUUAUUAGUUGCUUUCCUCUUUCAGCUACAAAAAAUCAGAUUUACUCAAGGUGAUUAAUUUCAUGAUUCAACCAUAGAGUAUAAAUCUCUCUAAGAAACAAAAGAAAAGUGAACAUGCAACUAAAUGAAAGCGAUCUUAGUGUACAUCCUUGAUAUGAAUUUACGACAUCAUAGUUAUUAGUAAUAUCAUUGCAUUAUAUACAGAAUGAAUGGCAAAGCAAGGAGUCAAUUGGCCAGUCCAACAAUAUGCAGAACCAACAACACAACCAAUGAGGAAGAGUUGCAGAGAAUUCUCACCAGAGAAGUGGCCAAUGCUGAAAACAAAUGAACUAAUAAUAACAGCUUGCCACCAUUUCAUUGUGGAGGAUAGAGAUGAUAGAAGGAACCCCCGAUAAACAGUUUCCUCCAACAAAGGACUAACGAGGCAAUACAGAAAAAAGCAUGACAUCAUAGACAAAGGGCUAUCCGAAAGAAUCUUUUUCAAGAUCGGGUCAUUCACAUCCUGCAAGCAACCACAGAAGAACUAAUUUAGUCAGAAAAGAAGCAGAAAGUAGUUUAAAUGCUCAUAAUUAUCACUACAUCAAAUACCUGCAAGUUCAUUCCACAUUCAAAUUGAUUCUCACCAUAACAUACACUUUAGCAAGUGCUAGGAUGUAAAAGAACUAGUUUACCACACAUAAGCAGAAGAAAACUUGCUCGACAUGGUUUUACUUUUUUCUUCUUUCUGUCCCAGUAAACCUACCAGAAUAGUGAUACCACGAAUACAGUUGUUUAUUAUUACAUAGCGGAUAUAUCUACUUACCAGUAAAACCUACCUACCAGAAUAGUGAUACCAUAGAUGUUCAAUAUGUUCUUUGAAAGGUUUGUUUCAUCAAUCAUAUUUUCGGAAUUAAGAAUCUUUUGUCGCAGUUGUAUUUAAUAUGUAAAUUCAACACUUCUUCAGCAAAUAACAGUUCAACUUGCCAUAGCUUGAUAACAUGAGUAUUUAGACUUCUAGAAGGUAAAAAAAAAAAGCCUCCUUUGCAAUCAAAAUAAACUAAAAUCCUGCUACGAAGUCAAUAGAGGAAAUUCUAGGCAUUAAACAUAGCAGUUUAGCUUACCUUAGGUCCAACCAGCAUGUCAGCAACUAUGGAUGUGAGAAACACUAGCCCAAUCAAAGUACCAAUCCCCACAAUAGAUGCUGUGAUGCAGCUUCUUCCUCCCCAAAACCACUUUGCAUGGAAGAAUCUGCAAACAUCAUAUUGCGGCUUUGCAUUAAAAUGCAACAGUGUUGAAACUCCAACAUACUCUGUAACUUGUAGCACAGUGAUGGACACAACCUGCAUUGAACAGAAGUGGUGAUUGUUUAAUCAACAAAGAACAGCUUUUUUAAAGUAUGUGAAUCACGUGUUUCUACAACAUUUGCUAUCUGGAAUAGCUCGUUCACCAUCGUCAGCGGAUCAAGGUUAGGUUCAUGAAGAAUUUGAGCGAUGACUGAGAGCCCUCCAAAGCUCAAAGGAACGUGCAAGACGAAGAAAUAGGCCGCACAUAUGGACCAUACGUCACUAUUUUCCCAUGGUACGUCGGAUGGAAGCACUGAAAACCCCUGUUUUCCAGGAGAAAAUUAAAUCAAAUUAUCCACGUCACCGAACCAAUCUGGCGCUGAUGAUACUGAAGUAAAGGAGGAACGACAGGAAAGGCAAACAGCUGAUUCCAGGAAACGGAGAUGGAAUAGGCAUUGCCUCGAACAGUUCAUCUGCGCUAUCCUUCCCGGCGCAGAAGCACCUAAAGAAAGAUCUCGUGCGCACCCUGGAUUGGAAACCGCGAAAUGGGAUUGAAACGCACGGGAGGACGCUGGGAUGUUCAGAAGAGCUAGCAGGUUUUGGAAAGGUCGACGACGGGGAGAUUCGGGGAGGGCGUGGAGAAGCCACUGUUAUCAUCAUGGGCGUCGCUUCGGUUUUCCUCAGCCGUCGAUCCCAAGAUUUAUGUUUGGUAUCUAAAUAGAAGCUUUAAGAUUCGAAGAAUCGAGAUCGAGAUUUUAUUCAUAGCUAGGCGACGUUGAAGCUUGAAGAAGAAGCCCUGUCGUCAAAUUUGGGUCGGAUCCAUCCCGAACCCAUCCGACCCAACUUGGCCAGCUCCAGAAGAUAAGUAAGUCAAAUUAGAAGAUUUGUUUUUUCCAAGCAACAAAAGAUAAUAUAUUACUUCAAAACCCUCAUCCAGGUAUAGCGAUGCUAGUCCUCCACUUACAACCUUUCGCACAUACGAGACUAAGCAUAAUAAUUAUCUUUUCUAAAAAUAUGAAUCACUCACUCCAUAAAUAAGUUAAGAACAAAAAUCCAGAGAACCAAAUAAGAAUAAAUUUUGAUCAUGAACUAUUUGAGUCGUUAUGAUUUAUGGUUUACUCAUGUCUAAAAUAACUCAUACAUUUUAAAAAAUAUAGCAUAUAAGUCCCUUCCGUCAAGUCUUUAUUAAUAAAUAUUAUAGUAUGCUUAGCAUGACUUAUAAUAAAUCAUUAAUAUAAUUAUAUAUAAUUUAAGUUUAAAAAAAAUGUUAAAAUCCAUUUUAGCCCAUAUGGACUUGGUCAUUCACCACUUAAGUCUUAUGACUUAUUCAUGUUUAAAAUAACUUCUAUCUUUUCAAAGACGUAGUAUAUAAGCCCCUCUCAUCAGGUUUGAGUUAAUAGACAUUAGAGUUUGUUUACGUACUAUUCUGACUCAUAAUAAAUCAUUAAUAUAAUGAUAUAUGUAGUUUAAGUUAAAAAAAAAAAAAACUGAGACCACCAUCAAUGACCGAAUGAAGUGUUGUCAUGGAAGUGACCACCAACAGUAGCACUGAGCCACUACUACGCAAGGCAUCGUACACACGCAACCACUCCCACAUUGACGAUGAGCUCAAGAGCUUCCGAUCUUACCUCAGGUGGAUGUUCAUCGACUAGCCUAAUGCUAAGCAUGCAAUGGUCUCCUGUUCCCUCUUCCUCCUCUUGGGUAUCUUUGUCCCCAUCAUCUCCCACUUUGUCCUCUCUUAUACCCCCACCCACCAUGCCUAUGAUGUGGUGAUCCAACUCUUCCUCACCUCUGCCUCUUGUCUAUCCUACCUUUGCCUCUCCACUUUUGUUCAUUGUUACGGCUUUUGUCGCUUCCUAUUCUUCAAUAAUAUAGACAUAAUCAAGAGAAGAACCACCACUAAAAGAAAGAGCAUUAUUGGAAUGAGACAAGGUAAGACAUUGGAGAGAAGAGAAGGAUUGAGAUUAGAGUUUGGAGUAAAAACUAAAGAAAAUUCAACAUACAUCUUGGCAUACGGUGGAACUUGAACUCAUAGAAGCUCCAACACGUUAGAGGCACCUCAUGACUUGGCCUCUACGGUAAACUCUUUGGUCCUGCUCCUCUUGAUAUCAUUCAAUCUUCUCUUUCAAAAUUUUAAAAACUCUCGAAGAGUUUUUAAGCUAUUAAUCUUAUUAUAGGUUAUCUUUGCUUUCACUUCUAAUCCAAAUAAGAUAUAAUAAAUACCCUAGAUUAUGAUUUUUGAUUCUCAUGAGUAAUGACCUCUCCUUAUUUCUAUGGAAUGAGAAUUUUUAAACUCUCAAAGAACGUAUUACCAUUAUCCCCAUGUAAAUCUAUACGCCAAACCCACCCAUAAAAUCCUUUGUCCCUCGAAUCAUCUUCCAAAUUGCUACCAAAGUAGGUAUCCCUCUUAGGGUUGAUGACAUCACUAUCUUUAGGGCAUGAGCAAAAUUUACAAAGGUCAAUAUUCUUCUUAAUUUCUCUCUUCCACUUCCGUAAUUCAUCUAGGUGAAAAUAGGAAAGAUGGACUUUGUUCAAACCAUAGCAUAUGAAAAUCCCCUAAAAAUCAAUUACUCCUAUGGCUAUUGGGUUAUAAGAUAGCUCAAUGUAUGUCUAUGAAAUCAUCAGAAAAAUCGACCUGAGGAUAUUUUCAGCAUAUAGAUCAUCCUCUCUACUAGAGAAGGCCAAAUGUAUGACCCGUGGAUGUCCAACAUUGACCUAGACCCAAGAGGGACCCAACCCAAACCAAAUCAACCUGCACUAACCACAUCCCUAUCAUGAAUCCUAAACAAUCCCUAAUCUACAUAGUUAAGUUCAACCUUAAAACUCAAUUCAACUAUUUUAGGGAGGAAAAGAAAAACACUUGAAAAUCAAGAUAAAAAAAAAGAAUAUCCAAGAUAUAACAUAGUUCAGUAACUCCCUACCUACAUCCAAAGAGAAAAUCAAAUUCUCUCACAUAUAUGAGAUCAAUUACAAGGCCCUUGAGUUCUCUCAAGCACAACUUUUUUUUUAUAUAUCCUCUGAUUCAAAUAUGAAAAAUUCUUCAUUCAAUCCUUUCUAGAUUUACUAGACUAACUCUUAGAAGUAAUGAAAGUAUCUUAUAUCUCCGCUUCACUAAAGCUGAAGACUCAAGGUAUAUUUAUAAACAUAAAUUCUAUUCUUUAAAGACUCUUCCUACUUGAAUCCAUAAUCUAAAUCAUAAUCCACCAAUGAGUUUGGAUAUAAUUAGGACUCUUUUUAGUAGUUUGAAUAUAAUUAGAACUCUUAAAAUACUUUCAACCUUGAUAAAUCACUCAAGGGUAUAGUGCUCCUUCCCAAACCACUAAUCACAUUAAACUAACUAUUCAUCGGAGAAGGGAAAGGUUGGGAACAUGAUGUCACCCUAGAUUUUGGGGCAUUGCUUGGAAAAGGGAAGGGUUGGUAGCUAGUAAAGUUGAUUUCAAUUCCUAUACAAUCUUAACAUAUGCCAACAUCAUUCCCUUGACCGAUUCAUCUAGUAUAGUAAUUGUUAUAUCUAAUGUCUCGCCUCCGAAGUCUGCUCUCUCAUCAAUUACGAUGAAGAUUGAACUAAUAUCAUCCUUAGACACUUAAAUCUCUUUAAUUACAAAAGAUAAUAUAUUUUUCUAACCAAAAGACUCCCUUACAUCAUUUACCUUCUCAAACACUACCUUGAUGUAUAACACAACUCAUCUUCCCUUGUUCUCUAUUUCCUCUUUAUCAGUUUCAUCUACAUAUAAUCUAUUUUUGCAAGAACAUAGUAAACAUAUCUUGCUGAGUCCUUGAUCUAAAAUUCUCUCUCCCUUGAACCUUCAUAAAAAUGAAUAUUUUCAACUCUUAGUAGAUAAGGUGGAAUAGGGAUUCUAUAAGACUACUAACCAAAUAACUAAAAAACACGCGAGCAUCCUCCUAGAUGAUGAUGACCUAUAGAAUGGUCUCAUUUUCCUCAAAAGUAAGGACAUAAGACUAGAUUAGUCUCUCCUAAGAGAGUAUCUCUUUCUCUCUCCUUUAUUUCCAAAUACAUAAGUAGAAAAGAAAUAUUAGACUCCAUAAAUACUCUUUUUUUUUAGUAAAUAGCAGACAACUCAUCCUUUCUUUCCCUCGUGAAACUAUUAAGUUAGAACUGUAGAAGUGCACACAAUCGUGAUUGUCUCAAUCAUUUAUUAUAUUCAAUUAGAACUAUUUACAUUAGCAUUGUUAUACUAUCGAAAACUCAUCUUAACUUGGAGACUAAUCAUAGGUACAUCUAUAAGCUCAAUUGUGAUUGGAAAUGAAUCACCUCUCCUACCCAUGGUCGAUCUAGAGAAAUCAUCUUUGCUUGGAAGCCCAAUAAAACAUGUGUCUAUCUAGUGAGCAAGGAUGCUCAAACCUUAUACUUAAUAAUAGAAGAACAAGGUAAAUCUUUAUGGCUUCUUUCUAUAAUUUAUACCAGUACUAUUUUUUAUAUAUGUAAUUCACUUUGAAAAAAAUCUUUCAUCGCAUGCUUUUGAAUCCUUUGCCUUGGUCUUUUUAUGAUGAUUUCAGUUAUAUUAUCAAUCCCAAGGAAAAAAUGGAGGUACUUCAUUUCAAAUCAAUAAUUCUAAUACAAUUUUAUAUGAUUUCAUAUUCUCAUGUAAAAUUUUCGAUCUUGGUUUUCGUAGUCCAAAUUUUAGUUGGUCAAAAAAUUAGUGUAGUCCUUCUAGAGUUUUAACUAGGCUUGGUAAGCUCUUGCUAAUGAUUUCAGACUGAAAUUAUACCCUUCUAAGAAUAUAUAUAUUUUUAUCUCAAUUGCUUGUUUUUUGAUCACUACCCCUUAUUGAUCCAUAUCAACCUUUCUCCGUAUUCUAAACCAAUCAGAUCUUUUAACUUUGAAUCAUAUUAGAUCAACUAUCUUGACCUUAGAAUCUUGACCUUAGAGGCUUAGAGCAACCUAAACCUUCAUACUUUAUUUUUGAUAAUAUUCAUAAUUAUCUAACCAAACUAAGUACCAAUAUCUCUAAAUAGAGUAAAGUGGGGUGAUAAAUGUUAAAAUAAACUAUGUCACUUGGGAGACUAUGUCUAGGUGGUACCAUCGCCCAGAUUGGCGUUACCACAACCUAGUCUGACGAUACUAUCGCCUAACACAAUCUUGGAGACUGAGCCACUAGCGGUGCUAUCGCCUAGACCGUUGGUACCACCACCUGACUAAACUUUUGGGUCAUUGAAUGAGCCUUUCUCUUGCCUCAAAACAGCCCCAAUUCGGGCCCAGUUGGCCCCUAAUUGAGUUAGCUUAAUUACAUUCUAAACCAACCCAAUUAUGACCUCAACUAACUCGAUCUAGACAAAUUAUUUUGAAGCACGAAUCAUUUGUUGUCCGGCAUGUCAUUGGUUUUUCCAACGCUUCGUCCGAUCCUUCGACGCAUCAUUCUCUCCUUUGGCGUAUUGCCCAAUCAGCAUAUUGUCUUCUCGUAAUAUCCAAUCUUCUUGGCGCAAUGUCCGAUCUUCUUGGCCUGAUGCCCGAAUUCACGGAUUGAAACCUUCUAUCGACAAAUCGACCGAUCCUUCGGCUCGACGUCCAAUCUCCUGACAUGUUCAACUUUGACCCAACAUCUGAUUCCCCUUGCUUUAAUUAAUUUGUCUCUCUUGAUCGAAGCUAGUCUAGUGUUACUCAAAACGUAGAUUAGAUCAUAACAUUAUCAAUUAAUUUCAUCAUCAAAAUCCGAGAUUCAAUAAUCUCUCCAUUUUUUAUGAUGACAAUCAAUUGAUGACAGAGUUUAACUAAACUCUCCCUAUCAAUAUGACAUAAAUAAGAUGAACCUUGAAUUAAAAUUAAAUUUAAGUCAAAGUAAAUUUAAUCAUAAAUAUUUCAUCAUUGAAUGCUUUAGUAUCAUAAGUUGAAAUAUUGCAUGCAUAAUACCAAAUUAUCAUGUAUAUUUUCAAAAUAUAAAAUUAUCAUUACAUGCAUGAUUCCAAAUCAUCAUUUAUAAUAUCAUACCAUACAUAAUCAUCAUCAUACCUUCUCCACUUUUGUCAUCAACAAAAAGAAGAAGUGCAACUAUCAAUAUUUUAGAGGUAUAAGCUUAACAAUUAGUAAAUUUCUCAUCACUUUAGAACAUGCAAACUAGUGAGUUCUUUCUUCUCUUUUGAGAAGUGCAAGCUAGUAAUUUUUGCUUCCUUUACAAAACAUAAGCUAGCAACAAUUUUGAGUUUUGAAAGUUUGUAAAUUUUGCUAGAUGUGUAAGUUAGCAUGUUUUCUUUUCUUUACGAUGUUCAAACUAUCAAGUUUUUGAAAGAGAAUGUGAGAUAGUAAAUAACAAGUUUAGAACAUGCAAGUUAGCAAGUUUCUCACAUAUGAAAGUUGGCAAAAAUUUUGUAUCUUUUGAGAUGAGCAAGCUAGUAAGUUUUUCUUACUUUUGCAAUGUGCAAGCUAGCAAAUUUAGCAAGUUUUACAUCAUUUUCGAAUAUGCAAGCUAACAAAUUUUAUAAUAUUUUAAAACAUACAAACUAGCAAUUUUAUCUCCCCUUUGUCAUUGUCAAAAAGAAGAGAAGAAUAUAAUUUUAUGAUUCUUUUCCCUUUAUAUCAAUUUUCAUAUCAUGACAAAGAUAAAGUAUCAUUCUUAAUUCAAUAUGGCAUAUCGAAAUAAGGUAUCAUUUCAAAAAAUGAUAAUUGUUGACUUUUACAUCAUUUCAUUAUAAAAUCAUAAGUAUUACAUGCAUCAUUCCAAAUCAUAAAUAUUUUAAAUCAUAAUGGUCUCAAAAUGUCAAACUACAUUACAUCCUAUCACGCAUGAUCAUAACUUAUCAUUUGUAUGCAUCAACAAUAAUAUAAGUAUUUUAUGUAUAAUUUCAUAUCAUCACAUGAAUAAUAUCAAGAAAAAUUAAUUGGGUGAUGAGAUAUACACUUCAUGAAUACAAAUUUUAAGUUAUGAAUAUCAAAAAAUUAAGAGAAAAAUUAUGAUUCUUUUUGGAUGACUCAAAUAACGAAAAAAAGAAUCAUAGUAAAUGAUCUUGAUUCAUAAAAAAAAUCUCAUGUUAUAAUUCUAAGAAUUCACAAGAAAAAUCAUGAUUUAUUUAAAUAAUUAUUCUUUUAUUAAUUAGCAAAAAAAAAAUAUGGGAGUUCAAAAAUAAGAUCUUGAUUCAUAGAAAAAUCUUAUGUAUCAAAUAUCGAGAAAUCAAGAUCAUGAUUUGGAUAAAAAAUAAAUCUCAAUCCAAAAAAUUUUCUUGUAAGAAAUGUUAAGUCAUCGUCAUUAUCACUUUGGGUUUGAUACUAAAUCAAUAAAUUUUCAAAUCAUCAUUACUUGGGUAUGCAUGAUACCAAAAUAUGGUUUCAAGUCUUCAAGGUAUAACAUGCAUAAUUUCAAACCAUUAUUAAGGUUAUAGUUUGUUUGCAUAAGUCUCUUCUUUAGUAAACGAUAAGAAGGAAUCAUCAAAGAUAGAAAAUAUUUUGAUUCUUAUAAAUGAUAGCUCAAGUAGAGAAAUCAAAAGAAAGUCCAUGAUUUAGUUGGAAAAUUUUCAUUCAUAUUCAAUUUGUUAACUCCAAACUUAUCAUCAAAACCACUUUUCUUAAUUCAAGAGAUAACAUAAAAUAGAUUCAUCACUAAGCACCACUUGUUGAAAAAAUCGAAAAGCUUUAGAGAUAUUUUUAAGAAACAUGCAUUCUCUCCUUUUUGUUUCAAUUUAAGUAAUUUGAUUUCAUACAAACAUGCUUUAAUUUUUUUUGCCAAACAAAAAUAUGCAUUAUCGUUUAAAACCGAAAAAGUUACUUUCAUUACGACAAAGAUCAAUAAGUCAUAAAUCACAAAAAUCAUCAUACAUAAUUUCGAAAUAUAAGCUCAUUAAGCAUGAUUUCAAAUCAUCAUUACUUCAAAUCUUCAUUACAUUAUUAUAUCAUUAAAUCAUCAAGUAUGGUUUCAUUGAACAUAAAGCAUCUUCAAUCAAAAUAAAAAAGUAAUACAGAAAUCAUCAAGAUACACAUAAUUGUUUCUUAAAAAUAUAUAUAGGAUUAAUAUUACUAGGUGUACAAGCAUUAGAUUUAAAUAUAAUAUUUUAUUCCUUUAUCAUAAAGAAAUGCAACUAUCAUGAUCAAUUUUUUUAAUUUUUCAAAAACACUAGAAAGAAAAGCAUGAUCCCAUUUUAUUUUUUUAUAUUUUAUAUACUCAUUUAAAAAUAAUUUAUAAAAUACAUCAAGUAAUUUUAUAGUAAACUAAGGGGGUUUUGGUUACCUCGUCAUCGAAAGCCAUUAAGGCAUUGUUCGCCAUCUUGUCUUUAUUGGUUUGCUUCUCGUCUUCGAUGAGCUCGAUUCGUCCCAAGCCACCUUGAAUACUUUCUUCUUCUUUGGUAACUUCUUCUUUUUAAAUUUAUUUUUAUUCUUAGUCUUAUGUUUUAUAAAUUUUAUAAAUUUAUUUAUGAGGAGUUCUAUGUCAUCAUCAUUUAAACUUUCGCUCAAGUGGUCUUCUUUUGUUCUAAGUGCCAAGUCCUUCCUAUUCUUUGGAAGGUUGUCUCAAGUUUAUCAUGUUUAUCAUAUGUCUUGCACGUCAUUUCAUGUCAUUAAUGAACCAAUAAGUUCUUCUAGUGAAAAAUUAUUUAAGUUCUUUGCUUCUUGUAUUGCAGUUACUUUUGGAUCUAACUCAUUAGAAGGGAUCUUAAUAUCUUGUUAACAAGUUCAAAAUUCGAAAAACAUUUGUUAAGAGCUUUCAAACUAUUGAUGAUAUCCGUAAAAUAGGUAUACAUGUCAACAAUAGUUUCACUGGACUUCAUUUGAAACAAUUCAAAAUUAUGUAUUUUAGACUCUUUAACUCAAUUUGUGCCUUCGUGUGUGAUUUCAAGAGUGUGUCAAAUCUCAUAAGCUAUUUCGUAAAUAUAAACUCAAUUGAAUUCAUUUUUAUCCAAAGCACAAAACAAAACAUUCAUAGCUUUGACAUUCAAAGAGAAAGUCUUCUUCUCUAAAUCAUUCCAAUCGUUCAUUAGAAAAAAAGACUUUUAAAAUUUAUUUUCAAUGAUGUUCCAUAAAUCGAAAUUCAUGGAAAACAGGAAAACUCUCAUUCGAGUUUUCUAAUAUAUGUAGUCCAUCCCGUUGAACAUAGGAGGACGAAUGAUAGAGUGACUCUCUUGAAAUCCGAAAAGAGUCAUUUCUCUUGGAUAUUAAACCAAAUUAGAAAAACAUGGCUCGGAUACCAACUGUUAGGAUCAAAUCAGCACUAAGAGGUGUUAGGAAAGGGGUCGGCACUAAGAAGGGGGGUGAAUUAGUGCAGCGGUAAAAUCACGUCUUCAAAAAUGUUUCAUUUCGAUAAAACAAGUUUCGUAAAGAUGUUAACUUGAAAUUGUAUGAAAACAUAGUGAAUGAGGAAUUCAGUUUGCAAUAAGGUAAAUAGCAAGAAGUAAAUGCAAACCAUAUUUUAGAGUGGUUCGGUCAUCGUGACUUAUAUCCACUUCACCGAUUCCUUUUCCGUCGAGGCCACCGGCAUCCACUAUCGAUCUUCCUUUAAUAGGCGAAGAUCAACCUCCUUCUUACACUCCUCUUCUCCUUUUCACAGGUUUAGAAGUAAACCUUUACAAACACACACUCCUCCUAAACAGAAUUCUAAACUUAGACUAUAGGAGAGGAUUUCUCUUGUAAUUGCAAUAGCGUUUUCUCACUUUUAAAUACUCUAUGCUUAUGUGUGUUAACUAGGGAUAAGAGGGGUAUUUAUAUGCUUCAAGUUGAUUCAAACUUGGAGCAUAAAAAUAUCUCAUCCUGGGUUUUCUAGGUUCGGGCGGUAUCACCGCUUGUGUUGGGCGGUACCACUGCUAGUGUCAAUCUGACACUGACACUACACUAGGCGGUACCAUUGCCCAGUCUAAUGGUACCACCGCCUAUAGCCUCUCGGAGGCUGUGUUUGGGUAGUACCACUACCUAGACGGACGGUACCACCGCCUGACAUAGUCUUGGAGACUGUGUCACAACGGUGUCACCUCUUGGGGCACUGUUUGGACCUUUUUAUUAGGCCCAACACAGUUCUUACAUAGGCCCAACUAGCCCAUAAUUGGGUUGGCCCAAUUCCAAACCUAAUUACGUACUAAUUACGAAAUCUAAGACAUACUUAAGCUAAACAAGUCUGUAAGUCUUGGUUUCUUCCGGCGAACUUCCGACGAUCUUUCGGUAAUAUUCCAGUGGACUCCCGGCAAGCUCCUGGACUUCACGACAAUCUUCUUAGUGAGUUUCAAUGAGCUUCUCUAACAAGCUCCGAGACUUCUCGGCUAGUUCCGACAGAACUUUCGAUGAACGUCUGGACUUACGAUGAACUCUCGAACCCCCAACAAAAUCGCAUCAUUGACUCCGAGACUCCAUUUUGCUUCAUGCCUUGCUAUUGUAGUUAAUCCUGCACAUGUAAAAACAUACUUUGAUCUAGACAAUUAAUACUAAGCAUUAAUCAUGUUGUCUGGCAUGUCAUUGGUCUAUCGACGCUUCGUCCGAUUCUUUGGCGCAUUAUCCUCUCUUGCGGCCUAUUGCCCAAUCGGCCAAUUGACUCCGUAACUCCGAUAUCCUUAGCACAAUAUCUGCUUUUCUUGGCCCGAUGCCCGAAUCCAUGGCCCGAAGCCUUCUGUCAAGACGUCAACCGAUCCUCUAGCCCGAUGUCCAAUCUUCUGACAUGUUUUCCUCGGGCCCAACAUAAUUUUUCCUGCUUUAAUUGUCUCAUCCUGAUCGAAGCAUCCUACAUCACUCAAAAUGCAGAUCAAUUCAUAAAUACUAUCAAUUGGUUUCAUCAUCAAAAUAUGAGAUUCAACAAUACUCGGAUACCAAAGGAGGUUAAUAUUCGCCUAUUAAAGGAAGAUCAAUAGUGGAUGCCAGUGGCCUCAAUGGAAGAGGAAUUAGCGAAAUAGAUGUAGGUCACGACGACCGAACUACUCUAAAAUCUGGUUUGCAUUUACUUCUUGCAAUUUACCUUAUUGCAAACUGAAAUUCUACUUCACUACAUUUCCGUACAAUUUUAAAUUAACAUCUUUACGAAACCGAUUUUAUCGAAACGAAACAUUUUUGAAGACAUGAUUUUAUUGCUGCACUAAUUCACCCCCCUAUUAAUGCCAACCUCUUUCCUAACAAUUGGUAUCAGAGCCUCAUUUUCUCAUUUGGUUUAACACCUAACGAGAAAUGACUCUUUUCGACUUUCAAGAGGGCCACUCUCUCAUUCGUCCUCCCUUUUUCAAUGGGACGGACUACACUUAUUGGAAAACUCGAAUGUGAGUUUUCUUACUUUUUUUGGAUUUAAAUUUAUCGAGUAUUAUGGAAAACUGUAUUUGAAUGUGUUCUCUUCCAAUGAACCAUUGGAAUGGUUUGGAGAAGAAUACAUUUUCUUUAAAUGCUAGAGCUAUGAAUGCUCUAUUUUACAUCUUAGAUAAAAAUAAAUUUAAUCGGGGUUCUAUGUGCGAAACAACUUUCGAUAUUUGGCACACUCUUAGAAAUCACACACGAAGGCACUAACAAAGUUAAAGAUUCGAAAAUCAACUUUUUAAUGUAUAAUUUUAAACUUUUUUGAAUGAAGCCAAGUGAAAUCGUUGUUAACAUGUACACCCGUUUUAUGGAUGUCAUCAAUAGUUUAAAAGCACUUUGUAGAAGUUUUUCAGAUUUUGAACUUAUAAAUAAAAUUUUAUGUUCUCUUAAUAAGAGUUGGGAUUCAAAAGUAACGGUUAUUAAAGAAUCAAAAAAUUCGAAUACUUUUUUGAUCAAAGAACUUAUCGGGUCUCUAAUGACCUAUGAAAUGACGUACAAUGCACGUGAAGAACUGGAGAACCACCUUCCAAAGGACAGGAAGGAUUUCGGACUAAGAACAAUCGAAGACCACUCGAGCAUAAGCUCAAGUGAUGGUGAACUUAAACUUGUCACUAAGAAAUUUAAAAAGUUCAUGAAACAAAAAUUAAAGAACAAAAAGAACAUAAAUUGGGAUGAAUCAAGCUCCUCCGAAGACGAGGAGAAAAUCAACAAAGGCAAGGUAGCAAAUUAUGCCUUAACAACUUUCGAUGGUGAGGUAAUCAAAAUGCCUUUAAUUUAUUUCGAAAUUACAUAAUACUUUCUUAAGUUAUUCUUAAUUUAGUUUUAAUUUUUUUAAAAAAUAUUGUAUGUUUAAUAAUGUAAUGAAAAUAUAAAAAAAUGGGAUCAUGCUUACCUUUCUAGUGAUCAUGAAAAUUACAAGUUUUGUGAUAAACAAACAAAAUGAUUUUGAAUAAAAAUACCUUAUAAAACCAUGCUAUAUGUGUUUAAGAAGUAAUAAUGUGUAUCUUGAUGAUUUUUGUAUUCCUUGUGAUUAUAAAUGGUUCUUUUUUAAUGAAAUCGUGCUUGAUAAUUUAAUGCAUAAUGAUCAUGCUUAAUGAGUUUAUUUUUCAAAAUUAUACAUGAUGAUUCUUGAGAUUUAUGGAUUAUCAACUUUCAUGGCUUUAAAAGUUUUUUUUGGUGUUAAUGUAUUAUGCAUGUUUUCAUUUGGCAUAAAUGAAAAAGGCAUACUUCUAUGAAAUCAAUCUUAUGAAUUGAAACACUAGAAAAUGAUUUUGAUUUGAUGAUUUCAAUUUGAAUGAGAUUUCUCUUGAUUUUUCAAGAUUUAAAACUUGAGAUUUAAUAUAUAUGAAAUAUGGGAUGCAAUGUAAUUUGACAUUUAGAUACCAUCAUGAUUUAAAAUGCUAUGAUUUGUUGCUAAAAUGAUGUAAUGUAAAUAUUGAUUUAAUGUUUGGUAUCAUAAAUACUUUAAAAUGAUGAAUGUUUGGUAUCAUGAUCAAAAUAAUGAUAAAUACUUAAAAAAUUUAAUAUCUUAGUAUCAUGUAUGAUAUGCUCAAAAUAAUAAUGAAUAUUUUGAAAAUAAAUAUUUGUAUCAUGUUUGAUAAUUUUAUAUUUUAAUAAUAUGCAUGAUGAGUUGUAGUGAUGAUUGAUUUAUUUUUGGUAUCAUGAAAAAUGAAAUGUAAGAUUUUAAAAUUAUGUAUAUUUCAAGUUGAAACCAUAAUGAUGCACAAACAUAUUGAAAUAAGGUUGAUACUUUAUCUUUGUCAUGCUUUGAAAAUUAUUAUAAAGGGAAAAAGAGAUACAAAAUUGUAUUCUUCCCUUCUUUUUGACAAUGACAAAGGGCGAGAUAACUAGCUUGCUAGCUAGCUUACACAAGUUAAGAAAAAACAAGAAAUGCUAUCUUACAACCUCAAGAGAAGCAAAAGUGCUAUCUUGCCUAUCUUAAGAAGCAAAAACGCAAACUUACAAAAUUUACAAUCUUGCACAUCUUCAAAAUUAGAUGAUGAUAUUGGUGAUUAUGCAUGUUAUAAGGAGAUGAACAAAUAUGCUAGUUGUAUGUUAUAAAACUUACAUAUCUUAAAAAUUGCUAGCUUGUAAUAUAAAAAAAAGCAAAAAGCUUCUAUCUCAAGAAAAACAAACAUGCUAAACUUGCACAUCUUUAAUUAUUGCUAGCUUACAUAAUGAUAAAACUGGAAAUUAUGUUAAUUAUGCAAUGAUUUAAACUUCUAUGUCCAAACGCUUGAUAGUUGGAACUUCUCCCUUUUGUUGAUGACAAAGGGGGAGAAGUAUGAUCAUGUUAUGCAUGAUAACGUGUUGCAAAUAUUCAUGAUAAAAUUUGCAAUAACUUGAAUUUAGCUUGAAUUCAAGGUUCUAUCAAUAUGACAUAUUGAUAGGGGGAGUUAAGGUUAACUCCGUCAUCAAUUAGUUGUCAUCAUAAAAAAGGGGGAGAUUGUUGAAUCUCGUAUUUUGAUGAUGAAACCAAUUGAUAGUAUUUAUGAAUUGAUCUAUGUUUUGAGUGACAUAGGAUGCUUUGAUCAAGAUGAGACAAUCAAAGCAGGAAAAAUCAUGUUGGGCCGGAGGAAAACAUGUCAGAAGAUUGGACGUCGGGCCGGAGGAUCAGUCGACGUAUCGACAGAAGGCUUCGGGCCAUGGAUUCAGGCAUCGGGCCAAGAAGAGCGGAUAUUGCGCUAAGGAUAUCGGAGUUGUGGAGUCAACUGGUCGAUUGGGCAAUAGGCCGCAAGAGAGGUCGAUGUGCCGAAGAAUAGGAUGAAGCGUCGAUGGACCAAUGACAUGUCAAACAACAUGAUUAAUGCUUAGUAUUAAUUAUCUAGAUCGAAGUGUAUUUUUACAUGUGUAGGAUUAACUACGAUAGCAAGGCAUGAAGCAAAAUGAAGUUCCGGAGUCAAGGAUGUGAUUUCGUUGGGAAUUCGAGAGUUCGUCAGAAGUUCGGAUGUUUAUCGGAAGUUCUAUCGGACACAGCCAAGAAGUCUCGGAGCAUACCAGAAAAUUUCAUCGGAACUCGCUAAGAAGAUCGUCGUGAAGUCCAGGAGCUUGCCGGGAGUCCGCUGGAAUAUUGUCGAGAGAUCGUCGGAAGUUCACCGGAAGAUCGCCGGAGGCUUGCUGGAAGAAACCAAGACUUACGGACUUGUUUAGCUUAAGUAUGUCUUAGAUUCAUAGUUAGCACGUAAUUAGAUUUGAAAUUGGGCCAACCCAAUUAUGGGCCAGUUGGGCCCAUGUAAGAACUAUGUUGAGACCAAUGGAAAGGCUCAAACAGUGCCCCAAGAGGUGAUACCAUCGUGGCAUAGUCUUCGAGAUUGUGUCAAGUGGUGGUACCGCCCAGAUAGCCUCUGAGAGACUGCAGGCAAUGGUACCAUCAGUCUGGGCGGUGGUACCACCCAAUGUCAGGCGGUGGUACCACCAGACUGGGACGUGGUACCGCCAAGUGUAGUGUCAGUGUCAGACUAACACUGACGGUGGUAUUGCCCGGACCUAGGAAACCCAGGAUAAGUUAUUUUUAGCCUCCAAGUUUGAAUCAACUUGAAGCUUAUAAAUACCCCUCUCAUCCCUGGUUAACACACAUAAGCACAGAGUAUUUAAAAGUGGGAAAAAGAUGUUGCAAUCACUAGAGAAAUCCUCUCCUAUAGUCUAAGUUUAGAAUUCUGUUUAGGAGUAGAGUGUGCUUGUAAAGAUUAACUCCUAAACCUAUAAAAAGGAGAAGAGGGGUGUAAGAAGGAGGUUGAUCUUCACCUAUUAAAGGAAGAUCGAUAGUGGAUGCCGGUGGCCUCGACGGAAGAUGAAUCGACGAAAUGGAUAUAGGUCACGACGACCGAACCACUCUAAAAUCUGGUUUGCAUUUACUUCUUGCUAUUUACCUUAUUAUAAACUGAAUUCCUCCAUCACUACAUUUCAAGUUAAUAUCUUUACGAAAUCGGUUUUAUCGAAACAAAAUAUUUUUAAAGAUGUGAUUUUACCACUGCAUUAAUUCACCCUCCCUCUUAGUGCCGCUCUUGAUCCUAACAAGAGGAUAGGGGGAAUUAGUGCGUACGUAAAAAUCACGUUGAGUCAGAAAUUUUCAUUUCGAUAAAAACCGAUAUUGAAAAUGCUUAACUUAAAAAUAUUCAUAAGAGUGUGCAGCUAAAGUAAUGAGGAAGUAAAGUAGUUGCAAAUUAAGUAAAUGCAAACCGAGUUUAUAGUGGUUCGAUUGUCGUGACCUACGUCCACUCCUGAUUCCUCUUCCAUCAAAGCUAUCGACAUCCACUAACGAUUUUCCUUUAAUGGGCGAAGACCAACUACCCUUACAACUCUAUUCUCCUUUUGAGAGGCUCGGGAGAGAACCAUUACACCUCUACUCACCCCUCUCCAAACAGAAAUCACACUUAGACUAGAGGAGGAGAACUCUCACGAGAUUACAACAGAAUUUUCCCUUAUUUUUGUUCUUAGUUCUUGUGUGUUUUGAGCAGGGAUGAGAGAGAUAUUUAUAGGCCUCAAAUAGAUUCAAUCUUGAAGCCUAAAAAUGUCUCAUCCCCGAUUUUUCGGGUACUAGCGAUACCACCACCUUUGCUGGGCGGUACCACCACCCAAUCUAGCAGUACCAUCGCUUGGACCCAACUUUUAGGUCACUGAAUGAGUCUUUCUCUUGGCUCAAAAAAGUCCUAAUUUGGGCUCAGUUAGCUCCUAAUUGAGUUGAAUUAAUUACAUUCUAAACCAACCUAAUUAUGACAUAAACUAACUCGAUCUAGACAAAUUAUUACAAAGCACGAAUCUUCUAUUGUCCGGCAUGUCAUUGGUUCUUCUGGUACUUCGUCCCAUCCUUCGACGUAUUGCUCAAUCAACAUGUUGUCUUCUCGCAACAUCCAAUCUCCUUGAUGCAAUGUCCGAUCUUCUUGGCCCGAUGCCCGAAUUCAUGGACCAAAGCCUUCUAUCAACACGUCGAUCGAUCCUAUGGCCCGACGUCCAAUCUCCUAACAUGUUCAACUCCGACCCAACAUCUGAUUCCUCAUACUUUAAUUAAUUUGCCUCUCCUGAUCGAAGUUAGUCUUGCGUCACUCAAAACAUAGAUUAGAUCAUAAUAUUAUCAAUUGAUUUCAUCAUCAAAAUUCGAGAUUCAAUAUCCAAGACCUCAAGCUUGUCAUGAUCUAUAAUAUUUGACAAACACACUAAUUCACGUCCCUCCCCCCUGCUUAUAUGAUUGGAAAUUCACACAAAUAUAAACUCAAUUGAUUUCAUUUUUAUCCAAAGAACAAAACAAAACAUUCAUAGCUUUGGCAUUCAAAGAGAAAGUCUUUUUCUUCAAAUCAUUCCAAUCGUUCAAUGAUGUUCCAUAAAUCGAAAUUCAUGGAAAGCAAGAAAAUUCUCAUUCGAGUUUUCUAAUAUAUGUAGUCUAUCCCAUUAAACAUAGGAGGACGAAUGAUAGAGUGACUCUCUUGAAAUCUGAAAAGAGCCAUUUCUCUUCGGUGUUAAACCAAAUGAGAAAAACAUGACUCUAAUACCAACUGUUAGGAUCAAAUCGGCACUAAGAGGAGGGGGUGAAUUAGUAUGUAUGUAAAAAUCACAUUGAGUCAGAAAUCUUCAUUUCGAUAAAAAUUGAUAUUGGAAAUGCUUAACUUAAAAAAUAUUCAUAAGAGUGUGCGGCUAAAGUAAUGAGGAAGUAAAGUAGUUGCAAAGUAAGUAAAUGCAAACUGAGUUUAUAGUGGUUCGAUUGUCGUGACCUACGUCCACUCUCGAUUCCUCUUCCGUCAAGGCCACUGACAUCCACUAAUGGUCUCCCUUCAAUGGGCGAAGGCCAACUACCCUUACAACUCUAUUCUUCUUUUGAUAGGCUCAGGAGAGAACCUUUACACCCCUACUCACUCCUCUCUAAACAGAAAUCACACUUAGACUAGAGGAGAAGAACUCUCACGAGAUUACAAUAGAAUUUUCUCUUGUUUUUGUUCUUAGUUCUGGUGUGUUUUGAGUAGGGAUGAGAGAGGUAUUUGUAGGCCCCAAAUAGAUUCAAACUUAGAGCCUAAAAAUGUCUUAUCCCCGAUUUUCAAGGUACUAGCGAUACCACCACCUGUGUUGGGCGGUACCAUCGCCCGGUCUAGCGGUACCAUCGCUUGGACCCAACUUUUAGGUCACUGAAUGGUCCUUGCUCUUUGCCCAAAAAAGCCCUAAUUUGGGCCUAGUUAGCUCUUAAUUGAGUUGGCUUAAUUAUAUUCUAAACGAACCUAAUUACGACAUAAAAUAACUCGAUCUUAACAAAUUAUUACAAAGCACGAAUCUUCUAUUGUCCGACAUGUCAUUAGUUCUUCUAGUGCUUUGUCUGAUCCUUUAGCGUAUUGCCCAAUCAACAUGUUGUCUUCUCGCAACAUCUAAUCUCCUUGGCGCAAUGUCCAAUCUUCUUGGCCCGAUGCCCGAAUUCACGGACCGAAGCCUUCUACCGACACAUCGAUCGAUCCUAUAGCCCGAUGUCCAAUCUCUUAAUAUGUUCAACUCCAACCCAACAUCCAAUUCCUCAUGCUUUAAUUAAUUUACCUCUCCUGAUUGAAGCUAGUCCUACGUCACUCAAAACGUAGAUUAGAUCGUAAUAUUAUCAAUUAGUUUCAUCAUCAAAAUCUGAGAUUCAACAUCCAAGACCUCAAGCUUGUCAUGAUCUAUAAUUAUUGGUGAACAAAUAUGCCAUAGUUGAUGAUUAGCACGGCCUGGUCCACGGGUCAAUGUCAGGAGUCUUCUGUCGACUAAGCUGGAUGUUGAGGUCGACUGAGCCCUCACGAUGGGGUGCUGAUCAGUGUUCCUUAGUGUGUUGAUCCAGGCGCUAUGUAUGUCGUGCUGCGUCUCUCCUUCUCCGGGGUGGUUAGCAGCUCGUCUUCGUCAGAUGGUCAUGUUUUCUUGCAAAAAUGGCCCUCGUCGGGAUCACUCGACGAGGUCCCUCCGACGAGCAAGUCAGUGGAAUGAUCAAAUGACUCCCCCCCCCCCCCCCCCCGCUUUUUUCCUGGAUCAAGUCGGGGGUAUUUAUACCUGCGUGCGGGAAUUGGUCGGGCCCUGGUCUGGCAUGGCCGUUGACUCUAGGGGCGGAACAACCUCUCUAAUAAGAUGGCGUCUUCGGGGGUGCUUGAGUGGCAUCAGACGACACUACCCUAAUAGCAGAUGGCAUCGCCCCCAGCUCUUGGGGUGGUCAGGCCGCACAAUCGCACAGUUGGAGCUUGAUGUGGCGUGCACCCCACGCUUCUAGAGGCGUAUGGUGUCGCGUCGGUCUGCAGCGUCUGUCGGGGGUUCACAUAGGACCAAAAUACGCCCUAUCAAUAAUAUUUGACGAACACACUAAUUCACGUCCCCUCUAGAAAUGCUCAUAUGAUUGGAAAUUCAUGUAAAUAUAAAUUCAAUUGAAUUCAUUUUUAUCCAAAGCACAAAACAAAACAUUCAUAGCUUUGGCAUUCAAAGAGAAAGUAUUCUUCUCCAAAUCAUUCUAAUUGUUCAUUGGAAGAAAAGACUUUUGAAAUAUGUUUUUAAUGAUGUUCCAUAAAUCAAAAUUCAUGGAAAGCAAGAAAACUCUCAUUCGAGUUUUCUAAUAUAUGUAGUCCGUCUCAUUGAACAUAGGAGAACGAAUGAUAGAGUAACUCUCUUGAAAUAUGAAAAGAGCCAUUUCUCUUUGGUGUUAAACCAAAUGAGAAAAAUAUAGCUCUAAUACCAACUGUUAGGAUCAAAUUGGCACUAAGAGGAGGGGGUGAAUUAGUACGUACGUAAAAAUCACGUUGAGUCAGAAAUCUUCGUUUUGAUAAAAAUCGAUAUUUGAAAUGCUUAACUUAAAAAAUAUUCAUAAGAGUGUAUAGCUAAAGUAACGAGAAAGUAAAGUAGUUGCAAAGUAAGUAAAUGCAAACAGAGUUUAUAGUGGUUCGAUUAUCGUGACCUAUGUCCACUCCCGAUUCCUCUUCCGUCGAGGCCACCAAUAUUCACUAACGGUUUUCCUUCAAUGGACGAAAACCAACUACCCUUACAACUCUAUUCUUCUUUUGAUAGGCUCAGGAGAGAACCUUUACACCGCUACUCACUCCUCUCUAAACAGAAAUCACACUUAGACUAGAGGAGGAGAACUCUCGUGAGAUUACAACAGAAUUUUUCCUUAUUUUUGUUCUUAGUUCUUGUGUGUUUUGAGCAGGGAUGAGAGAGGUAUUUAUAGGCCCCAAAUAGAUUCAAAUUUGGAGCCUAAAAAUAUCUCAUCCUCGAUUUUUGGGAUAUUAGCGAUACCACCACUUGUGCUAGGCGGUAUCAUCGCCUAGUCUAACGAUACCAUCAUGUGGACCCAACUUUUAGAUCAUUGAAUGAGCCUUUUUCUUGGCACAAAAAAGCUCUAAUUUGGGCUUAGUUAGCUCCUAAUUGAGUUGGCUUAAUUACAUUCUAAACCAACCUAAUUACGACAUAAACUAACUCAAUCUAGACAAAUUAUUACAAAUGACGAAUCAUCUAUUGUCCGACAUGUCAUUGGUUCUUCCAGCACUUCGUCCGAUCAUUCGGCGUAUCGCCCAAUCAGCAUGUUGUCUUCUCGCAACAUCCAAUUUCCAUGGCGUAAUGUCUGACCUUCUUGGCUCAAUGCUUGAAUUCAUGGACCGAAGCCUUCUACCGACACGCUGAUCGAUCCUACGGCCCGAUAUCCAAUCUCCUAAUAUGUUUAACUCCAGCCCAACAUCCAAUUCCUCAUGCUUUAAUUAAUUUGCCUCUCCUGAUCGAAGCUAGUCCUGCGCCACUCAAAACGUAGAUUAGAUCAUAAUAUUAUCAAUUGGUUUCAUCAUCAAAAUCCGAUAUAUGUAUGUAUAUAUAUAUGUAUAUAUAUAUAUAUAUAUAUAUAUAUAUAUGUAUAUAUAUAAAUAUAUAUAUGUAUAUAUAUAUAUAAAUAUAAAUAUGUAUGUAUAUAUAUAUAUAUAUAUAUAUACAUAUAUACAUAUAUAUAUAUACAUAUAUACAUAUAUAUAUAUAUAUAUACAUAUAUAUACAUAUAUAUACAUAUAUAUACAUGUAUAUACAUAUAUAUGUAUAUAUAUACAUAUAUAUGUAUAUAUNNNNNNNNNNNNNNNNNNNNNNNNNNNNNNNNNNNNNNNNNNNNNNNNNNNNNNNNNNNNNNNNNNNNNNNNNNNNNNNNNNNNNNNNNNNNNNNNNNNNNNNNNNNNNNNNNNNNNNNNNNNNNNNNNNNNNNNNNNNNNNNNNNNNNNNNNNNNNNNNNNNNNNNNNNNNNNNNNNNNNNNNNNNNNNNNNNNNNNNNNNNNNNNNNNNNNNNNNNNNNNNNNNNNNNNNNNNNNNNNNNNNNNNNNNNNNNNNNNNNNNNNNNNNNNNNNNNNNNNNNNNNNNNNNNNNNNNNNNNNNNNNNNNNNNNNNNNNNNNNNNNNNNNNNNNNNNNNNNNNNNNNNNNNNNGUAUAUAUAUAUGUAUAUAUGUAUAUAUAUACAUAUAUACAUAUAUAUAUACAUAUAUAUAUAUAUAUAUACAUACAUAUAUAUAUAUAUAUAUACAUAUAUAUAUAUAUAUAUAUAUGUAUACAUAUAUAUAUAUUCUUUUGGGGGAACUCCUAUUAAAACACCUUCCUUCAUAUUUUCUAUAUAAUUAUAUCAUCAACACUUAUUCAAUUUGUCAUUCCAUUAAAGACUCCAUUAAGUAUAUUUUUUUUUGAAGUUAUUUUUAUUAAUAUUUUCUUAUUCAUAAUCCAAUCCAAAACUUCUCAUAAAAAAUUCGAACAUUUUGACAAUUGGCUCCAACGUAGUUCAAUCCAAAAUUUCUAUUACUUUUCGACAUUUUGACAAUCGACUCCAAAUGUUCGUGGCUCAACGAAGAGGAAGAUCUUGAUCCCCCCUCAGCUUCUUUCAUUCAUUCGUCGUCGGCAAAUUAUCUUUGGCUCUCGUGGAAGUCCCGUAAUGAUUACAAACAUCCAUAAUCAAUCGCAGCUUUGCAUCCAACUCAAAAUCCGAGGGCAACGGUAAGAUCUCUCUGCAAACCCAACACAACAUUCCUACACUCUCUUUUUAUGAUUGUUAUAUUUGAUCAAGAUAACAUGUCUCUCACCCGUUACUGUUCCUUCAAUACAACUUCUCCCACAAAGGCGAAGGCGAAAACAUGAGCGGUCCUCCAAUGCCUUUAAAAACAAUCUCUCACAUCUAUUCAAGUCAGUUCUGACCGAGCAACUUAAGCAAAUCUCAGUCACUUAUAAACCUAACUCGAGAUAUUAUCUAGAAAGUAGUAGACUAAAACAUCAUCAAAACUAUUUUGCACAUAUUUUAACAAAUUUUACAAGACAACUAAUCUUUUUUUUUUUUCUUUGUAUGAACUUCUUAUAGCCUAAUUUAUUACUUUAUUUAAAAAAAAUACAUAUUCAUUUAUAUUUUGCAAAAGGAAACUCAAUUUAAUAGCAGAUUUCAUUCUACGCAUAAAAACACCAAAGAUAUCAUCCUCAAAAGGACUACUACAAAAAUAAUCAAUGAGAAAGCCCAUGCAGUGGAGGAAAGCAAAUCGUUGCUCUGAGCUGUGAUCUCUGUUAUCAUGAGAAUAAUAGACGUCAAUCCUAAAGCAAAAUGAUGAACAACUUUCUACCGCAGGCAGUAACAUUUAUUGAGCUAAAUAACUGAUGAGUGUAAACAGCCACCUUUUUGUUAAUCUGCCUCUUGGUUGUCAAGAUAAAAGAUUCAUACACCUGAAUUAAACCUAGCUGGCUUAAUGCCACCUCAGCUUUCCUCCUAAGGAUCUGUGGCAGUGCUAGCGGUGUUAUGUUGGUGUUCGUAAUCCUCAGCUUCAUCUUUCAUACUUCUCCCAAAGAUAAAAGGCUUCGUUCCCAUGGUAGCGAACGGCAUUAGUCCAAAAGCCCGUGCAGUUUUAAUCUCCCUCGCAACUUUCCUCUGAGCUUUGGCACUGAUACGAGUCUGCAGAGAAACCAUGACGGUAAGUGAUCGAAAGAACGGCCAUAUCAUUUCUCUGAAAUUCUCGAUGGCAAAUUAUAUGAGUGGGAUUCAAUCUUGACCUUGCUUCUUUUAAUUAUAAUUCCUGCUUCAGUCAGAAAAUUUGAGAGGAACCUCACAUUCUGCAUUGGAUCAUCCCAGAUGUCAGAACAACAUAAGAAAACACCAAUUUAAUUAAUUUCUAGAAGAAAAAGAAUUAAGAGAAACCCAAGACAUUCAAAAACAAAGACAGACAGAUUAGUGAUGAGAUCGGCUGCACAGUGCUACAAACCCAAACCAGAAAGAAAUUUCUCUCCAAAAACUUUCAUAAACUAGGACAGAAUUUCCAAUGCAAACAUAUCCAACCUCUUCCAAAUAGAAGAGCACUUUACUGUUUGUGAUAAAUCAACCAGAAAAAAAGAUGUCAGAUACCUCAGAGUAGAUAGAUCACACAUAGGGACCACAUUUCCAAGAAUGCUUCAUUAUCACUGUUAUAAUAUGCUGAAAUUACAGAUAUCUAAUGGCGGCAGAAAUGCUAAAUAUCUAUUGGAGGCUCCUAUAUUAAUAGAACAACUUGAACUAAUCAGAGUUUAAGAAUAUCAAUACAAACAUAUCAGUGUAGCUUUGGUUAAGGGCUCUAGAACUCUGGGUAUGAAGUCAUUUAUUUUACUAAAAUAGUGCACAGUGAAGUACCUACAUCAAUUCAAAAUCUUAACUGUUCAAUUUGCUCCAUGGAAACAUAUAUAGCCUCAAAAUAGGAAGAGUCUGUUAGAGACAAAGUCAAUAGAAAAUUUAUUGGGUAUAAAGAUAUGCGCAUAUGCACCAAUACAUUAUUUAGAACUUAAAAUGUAUUAUAAUGAUAGUGAAAGCAGGUCAAUCAUAUUGUCAGGUUCUGACUCAAUGAAGUUGCAAACUACAAUGUGAUAUUAAUGCAAAUUUUUAAGUAUAUAAAGAAGCCAAAAAGUAUUAUGAGCCUACCCUGAAAUCAGCUUUCUUCAGAACCUCUUGUGUGGUUGUCUCAAACUCAUUUCUUUUGAAUCUCUUUUGAACCCCGGGUUUUGUAAGAUCAAGAUCCUAAAUGCAGCCACAGGAAAAAAGUGAGGAUGAAAGCAUACAAGUAAUAAUAACAGUUAAAAAAAAAUACUAUAUGACUUUAAUAAUAUAUCUAGGGUACUAAAUAACAUAUGAACUAUAUGAUUAGCAUUCAUUUAGAUAUUUGUUGUCUUGCUACAAAAACAAAAAUAGUCAUACAUAAGAUAGCAACCAUAGAACUAAAAAUAAAAAACUUACUGCCAAGGAAAAAGGCAAAAAAGCUAGCAAUUAGAAUGCCUCUUACCCUUGUUGUGUAAGUCAUACCAGGAUAAAAUGUCACAUCUGGUCUAAAUUUAUAAUUUUCAUCGUGUAUCUCAUCACUAAAAACAAACGUACGUGCUGCUUCCUUCAACUUUUCAUCCAUACCAUCUGACAAUGAAUUAAAACUAUCACUUAUACCAUCUAUGAUUCGAGAAUCAUCACUGUUCAAUUUGGAGCCAAUGCCAGAUCUUCCAUGAGCCUUCUCAAGUUUGUCAAGUUUGCGAUAAAAUGAAUCAUUUAUUUCAUUAUUGCUUAUAUCACCAAAUAAGCGUCGUUCAAAGUCAUCUGAGCUCUCAAACGAAUUAUCACUGUUUCGGCCAGAAUUACCAUUAUCUGUUUGGACCAGAGAAAGAACAACAGUGUAAACGUUAACACAGAAAUAAGACACUGAUAGAAAAAAAGAUCAAACAAAAUUUUAAAUUAAAUUGACUGCUAAAAUGUUGUCAAAUGUACACAAAGCAUGUUAGUGUCUCUUUUGAUAAAACACCUAGGACCUAGAAGCGGCUAAAUUUUGUGAAUAAGAAAUGUUUUCCAUUCACAAACAAGUAGGUGCAGCUCUGGAAAAAGAUAAAAUGAGGAAAGACAACAAAGCAUGACAUGUUUGAACAAGACAUCUAAAUAUCCUCGUUAGAUGAAGCAAAUUGGAUAGGAUUAGUGGUGUGAGAAAAUACAGAAGGAGAAAUAAGAAUAUAUUAUUAAAACAAUAAAAAGAAAGUUCACUACUUUUAGUUUAAGUAGGAUGUUUUCCUACCAGAACCCAAGAGAGAAAAAAGAUCCACAUAGCCAACCCAAACAGUUGAGACAUUACAACUAAAAGUAAGUUAGGAAGUGAAAGAAGCACAUCUAAUAGGUGGCCAUAAAAAUUUCAAGAACACAGCCGGAAAGAGCAUUACAAAAUACAACAUUUUUCAGAAAUAAAGUAGGGAUGUAUUUUCAAACAGGUACUUGUAAUUGAUUCGUGCCUGCAAAAUAUAGAAUUACCAAACAAUGGAUCUCGCUGAGAGGUUGUUAUCUUUACAAUUCACAUGACAACAAAUUUACGGCCUUCUAAAAUGAGAAUUCAUCAGCCGUGUCCUAUCCUAAGCUGUUAUCAUUGCGGCAGUUGUCAGCCGAGAAUACAAAACUGCAGAGAAUGAAUGCACAAAAAAUUUAUCAAUACAAAUGCUGCCAUGACCUACUCAAGUAAGAGUUUUUGGUUGAAGGGGAAAGCUGAUCAUGAGCUCUAGCCACCAUAACAGUGAUGAAAGAUUAAGAUGAUAGUUUGCUAUUAUGUAACAUUUUUUAUAUUGACCAUGCAGCAAUGGAUAAAUGGGUGUAUCUUACAAACCAAAUUUUUAGAGAUCAAAAUCAUAUACGAUGUACAUACAAAAUGGAUUACUGAGUAGUGAGACUUUUGAUUGGACUUGCAUAAAUAAAUUAUUAUUCAUCGACUGUGAUAGCAGAAAAUUACCAGAAAUCAACAGAAGAUGCUAUGCAUGAUGCAGAUCUCCUAAUGGGGCAGGGUUCAAAUUUGCAGAUAACUAGACUUGUUGACUGAAGCUGUCAGCUCAACAAUAUGGACUAUGGAGCAGAGUCAGAAUGUUUAAAUUCUGAGAUUAUGAAUUAGACGUCUGCAUGAGUUUCUCAUCCCAUCUCUCAUUUAGUGUGACUCGAGAGGAAAGCAUGCAUGACUUCAACAUACUUGGGGAUGGCUCAUUGGCUGGCAUCCAAAUUAACCUUGAGUCCAUGACAAGAUCAACCAAAGGGGCUUAGCAACACUACCUACGAGAUAUUGGCUCGUCAACUCACUCAUCCACUAAUGUCCCUGAUAAAAAAGAAGACACUUGAUUUGCAUACCAUAUGUUCGACAUACUUCCCAAAGCAAUGACAGAUCAAUUCCAUCGCAUACAUAAAAAUUACAAUGGUUCAUAAGGAACUAUAAGCAAAUUUUACAUAAUUACUAUACAACAAACAUUGACAAACUCGCUCCAACAGAAUUGAGAUACAAAGGAAAGGAGGUGCAGAAGAAGUUUAUCUAAUUGAGGAGGAGAAAGAAAGUAAUCAGAUACCAGUGCGAAAGGAUUGGUGUCUGAAGAAGAGAGGCAGCACUUGUUUGGAGGAGAGAAGCCCACACAAGCUAGGCUGACGCAGAAGUUCUUUUUGCAAUGCUAUCCUUCUCAUCAUUUGCUUCACGAACGAUGCUAUCACACUAAGGAGCAAGUUACAGAUUGAAUACCACAGUGGAGAUAAUAAUCUUAAAAGGCAUAAAAACAAACACCCAAUGUGCAAGAAUCAUUACCAAAGAGAAACUUGAGGAUAACGAAAAUUUUACAGGCAAAAAUACAAACAUCAUUAUUACGAACACACACACGUCUGUUACUUGACAUAGAUUUGCCCCAAAACAAACACAAAAAGCCAGAAAAACAAGACAAGACAAAAGCUCACGACUUACCAAGAAGUUCGAAAGGGUAAAGAAUGAAGAGGAUCGAAGACCAGAGAGAGAAAUAGAGAGGUACAAGGGGAAAGACGAGUUUGAGGAGCACCCGAAAAGCAGGCAGAGGAGGCUCUGGGAGGACGGAGGAUACCGCGGCUAGAUCGAGGAGGAGGAGGAGGAGGCUCCGGGAGGAUGGAGGAUACGGCGGCGGCAGCGAUGGCGGCGAGAUCAAGGAGGAGGCCUGGGGGCAGGCAGCGCACUGGAGCCGGGGGAAGAAGGGUGCGUCGAGCAGCUUCGGCGGCGCGCGAGUCGUUGGUGUAUCAUCCACGACCUAAAUGAAACUCGAGUGCAACCCGGCACCGACCGUGUAAGAGCUUAGUGGUGACAUUAAAAGCCCAGAAAGCCCAUCAAACUCGGCCCAUGCGCCCCAUGCGGUCCAAUUACAAUUCCCGACGACGCCAGGAUUCCUCCGCCGCCACCCGCAUCUCCUUCCUGCCGCCAGGAUCCUCAUCUCCGCGGGGAGAGGCGAGGAGGGCGGCUGGGCGAAGACGAGGAGGAGGCACUGCCUCUCGUCGCCGAGGGAUCGGUGCAUCGCCAGAUGAGCCGAGGACGAGGGAGCAGCGAAGCAGCCGACUGCUGUUCGUAAGGGAGUGGGAACAGUGAAGCGGAAAAGGAGGUCAGCGGACGGUUGCAGUUGUGGCAGUUGUUUGUUAUUAUUGGGAUAAAAAUGAUGGCCAGCAUUAAACAUCUAAUUUGAUCACUUGGUUAUUUUUAUUUAUUUUUACAAAAAAUUAUGAUUUAAACAUAAAUAUAUAUAUCACGUCUCUUUUUUUUUUGGUUGCAUAAUUACAUUUUUUAUUUUCAUUUUAUUUAUAAGUAUACUGAUUUUAAGAAAUAUCCUUCGUUUUGGAUUUUUUUUAAUAAAAUGUUUCCCAUUACUGUCCCAUUUUUUUAAUCUCAAAAUAACUCGAGUUGAACAGUCAAAAAGUCUCAGGAGUUAGUUAGUAUUUUUAAAUAAAAUUAUAUCAUUUUUUCGAAAGCACUAAUAGAAAACAUAAAAAAGGGAUGACAACUGGAAAAAGUCUAAAUUGAGAAGAUUUUUCGGAAAUUCGUCUUAUAUAAGAUGAAUUUUGUUUUUUUAUCACAAAUAACUCCUCUUUUGUAAGUAAUGACCAAAGUGUGCGAUAAGUUGCUGUGGUAGCAUAUCAGAGAUGGAGAUGGAGCAUAGCUUUCACCUCUCCAUCCAAUGAAUUGAUGUCUCGACAUCCCGAGAUGUGCCAUCAAUCCGUCCCCACCCCAUCACAAACAACGCCCCUUGGCUCCCAAAAAUACACCAUGUGCCAUGUGCCAUGUGCCAUGUCCAUGGUGGAGCACAGCAUCACCACAGCAAAAGAAUCUAACACCAGCCAUGUGACUCCCCCGUCCGCGAAAGCAGGUCACAGGCGCAAUAGCCACCAGCCAUGACGAAGACGACCCGGUUUUACACCAACCACAACAGUGAAAGAAUCCGUAAAAAGAGAGUUCCAAGGUGACAAGCCACUGAAACAGGACGACGCUCGCUCUCUCUCCCCUUCGGAGAGGGCUACAAAGGGACGCACAUUGCUGAGCCCCCAUGGCUCCACAACAUUUACACACCCACACAGCUUACUUCAAACACACUUGCAUAGCCCGCCGGAUCGCCUUUGCAUUUCCUGCGGGAACAUGUACCAGGCUUGUUCUCAAGGUUUUAUUCUUCUUCUGCCAUUCAUUGAUGGCGUACCUUCUUCUUCUUCGAUCAAAGGAAGUUAAGGCGAGAGGUGUAGGUGGCCUUGGGAGACCAGUUUCUUGGAAUCACGUCCCGGGCUGAGAGGGUCCUUUGGGUGGUCAAUGUGGUGAGCUUCACUGAGAAUGGCCCCUGCAGAGGUCCCCCAAUGAUGCACCAACUCGCUCCCCACACGUGCUUCAUCUCUAGCCACUUCAUGGAAUUUGCCUGCAAGAGAAAUAUGCACUUAACUGCAAAAGAAAUGGAUCAGUUCUUGACCGGACAGGGAGGAGCCUUUCCAACCUUCCAAUGUAAUGAGGAAUCGGUGACCGAGAAAUAUGAAUCCUAAAAAGUGGGAUCAAGAGUGCUGCCUGCAACUUUAGCUCCAAAGAGGAGAAGAAUAAAGAGCUUUAGUUGCAUCAAUUCUUGUCUUAAAGUUGUGAGUGCAUUCAUCAAUCAGGUUUUGGCCCACAACACUAACAACAAGAAAGUUCUUCUAAGAUUCUUAGCAUUAUUAUACUUAUCACUCUCCUCUAAGACAACAACAAACAUUCAUCACUGCAAUAUCUACAGUCAUGUCAGACAAAUAGCAGAAUCCUUGAUGAAAUCUUAUCUUCAUAAAUAAAACUACAACUUGAUGAGCUACUGAUGAUGGAUUGGAUUUGCCCGGUCAACACAACUCCUAUUUUCUUCAAAGAUGAUAAAUAGGCAGACCAACUUGUGGCAGACAGGCAAACCAGACACUGGGACAUUUGUUUGGGCUUUAUUGUUUAGAUAAAUGUUACUUUUACAACCAUAAAAAGAGGAGGAUAAAUUGCAGCAAAACUCCUAGAGCAGAGCUGAUCUGUCACCUAAAUAUUUUAGCUACAAACAGAUUGUGGAACAAACUGCAUCAUUUCCAUCUGUGCCGGUUCAUGUAGGAGAAGCAUCAAACUACAACUUAGAUAAGAACAUAAAACAGAUAUAAGGUAGGAAAUUGUACUUGUUUUAUAUGCAUGGAUCCGAUAUCUCCAUCAUCACCCUCAAACUCCACAAGAAGAGAGAGCCAAAAGUUCGUGGAACCUUCGUUUACAUGAAACGCGAUAUUCUUUCCCGGGUACUUGCAUGGAGUCCUGAAAAAUACAACAUUCGAAGAUAAAUUUUUGAUCGAACUAUAUUUGCUAAUGUAAGAAUUAAAUCACAUGGUGGUGGAUUUCCGAUAUAAUCCUCGACUUUGGCUGAUGCUCUAUGAUUUUUCCAGGCUAAUUUGACAAUUACUCUGAAAAUUCAAGAGAUUGGUAGAGCUAAACAGUAAAAUCACAUGCUUCAUAGACUGCUCUGAUGAGCAUCAAGGAAAGCUUCUGAUCCCUUUCAUCAACAGAAUUAACACAACCUUCUCUAUCUGAUGAUCCCACAACACCAACUUAUAAUCCAAUUUUAGGAGCCGGUUUUAGCAUUAAGGACUAAUUAGUGCUAGUAUUCAGUUCUAUAAGGAGCAACAUCAUUCAGCAAUCUUUUUUCAUGUUCCAGAUCAAAUCUUAUGCUCUCUAUCUCACUCUGCGGUAACUUUUUUAAGUUUAAUUUGAGUUCACCAGUAAAAGAUUUCUCAUAAAUUUGGUGAUUACUAUGUGCAUGACUAUGAAAAUUGUCAGGAAUCUCGAUAGCCACCGAUCUAAUAUGCUCAAGUCACACUCACACAUAUAUGAGACAACAAACAAUUGCAUAAAAAUGCCAAAAGCAGUUCCCUGUCUUGUAUGAUGAACAAAAUAAGGGGCGUCCGAAAAUGUCGUCUUUUGCACGAAAAUGUCGACAUUUGCACAUAAAUGUGGUAAACGGGGUUGUCGUCAUCGAUGUUUCGAUGCUUAGCUUACCUGCAGAAUAUGACGGAGAUCUCGCCACGGUCGCGCAGCUGGCCGGCCUCGCCCGCGACGGCCAUGCGGCCGAAAGCGGCACCGCUGAGGUCGAAAUGCGUGUGGCCGGAGGCGCAGUACCCGCCGGGACACUCGUCGGUGACGAUGACGGUGACGGCGCGGCGGGAGCAGAUGGCGGGGUCGAGGCACCGCACCUUGUAGCAGGCGCCGCAGCCCUCGCCGCCCUUGAACAGCACCGGGCUCACCGCCCCCACCCGCGCCCGCAGCGGCUUCACGUCCACCAGCGUCCCGUACCCGCACGCUCCACCUGCCAUCCACGAACCAUCACCAAAGCUUUAUUUCCAUGACUGCACGGAGGCGGCCAAAUUAGCACCAAAGGAGGGCGACGGCCAACACGAUGAGAUACGGUCGUCGCCCUACACACGCAACGCCUUCAUCCACCACACCGCUCUUGCCACGCAGCCAGAGUCAAGCGGGACCCGCGAGCAAGCGGGGUGAACGCCCAACGGCUACGAAGCCGCCAACGGCUAGAAACGCAAGCUCACGUGCGCGCCCGUCCGAUCUUAAUCUAAUGGUGGCGAGGGGAAGGGGAAGAGGUAGGGAAGGGCGAGAGCUCACCGUCGCUGCCGUCGCCCUCGGCGCUGCCGUACCACGUGGCAGUCGCCGGGUGCCAAUGCGGGUCGAAAACCGCAAACGCCUCGCCGGCGUCGAAGAAGAAGAAGAGGAAGCAAAACAAGAACAAAAAGAAGCCGCAGCUGGAGGAGGAGGAAGAAGUCAUUGUGAGCUUCUCUCCUCGCUUUUAGGCUUCCAGGAGGCCAAGUAUCAGCUCCAGUGUCCGGAUCUCGAUGUGCAAACGGCCACUGCAGUUUGCCUCACUUAUAUAGACCAACAAACCCACCUCUCACCACCCCAUAAAAUAUUGCUCAUGCUUAACGCCCCAAACUACUGGCAACAAACAGUACUUGGAUCUCCAGAGAGAGAGAGAGAGAGAGAGAGAGAGAGGCGGGGGCGAGGGAGACAAGCUCAGCAAGUCCCACUGCAGAGGGGGAGUAAUUUUGGGUUGCCGCCAAUGACUACAUGGACGGGGGACCAGAAUCGAUCCGACGCGGGGCCCCGUCAUGUUGUGCUGCUCCAUGUGCACUCCCACGUCGCGUAAUUACGAGAUUGACCCUGUCACGUACGCGGCUCACUCGGUGUGCCGACAGUGGCUCGACCGUUAUAAACGAGGAAACAAUUUGGUUCCGUUAGUUAGUUGAAGGGUCAAUUCUUACCGAGCUUUUCUUAUUAAUUUCCAUUAUAGUGGGCUUAUCGAAUCCAAGGAGGUAUGACGGAGGAUAUGUCGGCUCUUAAUUCCUUAUAUUAACCUUUUUAUUUAUUUAUUUUCCCUAUCACCAAAUGGUGGGUGCAACACGUGCCUAUCGCAAUCUUGAAGAUGAUGUUUCGUCAGAAAUCUUUUUAAUAUAUAUAUAUAAAUAUAUACAUACAUAUAUGCCAUUGCACGGUGUUCAUAUUUGUCUUUACAAUAUUGUUGAUAGCCAAUUUUUAUUGAAAACACAUCACAUUUUUAAAGAAAUCCGAUGGGAAUUAACAAAUAAUGAUGGGCAAGUUGCGUGGUCUUGCAAUGAUUAUGGUUGUAAAUUUAGCCAGUUAAAGAGGGUAUUUUCGUCAUGGAAUAGUGGGGAACUGCACCACCGAGAUGGUCGACACGUCGAGACAUGGAUACGGUAGCAACGAAAAUUUACGAGAAUGUUCAUAACCUUUGUUCGAAACUUGGAAAGUACCACGACCGGGGAGAGACCAGACGGAAGGAACGGCGUGCUCAUGGGAUCUGCCGACACUCGGGGCGAUAACGGACGGCAGAGAUGGCGUGCGCAACGGACCGUUGGUGUGCAAUCAAACGGACAAACAACUCGACGCGAGCGAAUUGGCCGGUCAGCUGCUGUCUUUAGUGGGUCAAACUCUACUGCAGUCUCUGUACCCGAUGAUGACGGUAAUUAUAUGUGUCUGUUUAAUGAUUGAUGCAUGUAAUUAUUUGGAGGAUUAAAAUGUCAACGGAGGGCAACUAGUUAUGUUCCUCGUGGAGUCAGUACACAGGGUCUGCGUGGGCCUUCUGGAAGUUAAUACUGUGGGCCAACCGCUGCAUACUACCAGUUUGACUGUGUCGUUGAAUGUGACAAAGGUUUCUACCAUUACCGACAGUUGAUACAGAUUUUGAACGAAUUAUUAUUCAUCCUAAAAUUUUGAAGUUGUUAUAUAUAUAUAUGAUGUAUAUUAAGCUCAAUCGGAUUAGAAUUGAAAGAUGAAACUGAACCUAAAUGUAUUUUGCAAAUCAAUUAAACAGAAAAUAUUGGUGAAAUAAAAAAAGAAAGGAUAGAGAGAAUUUGAAUUCACAACUAGCUCUUCUGAUAAUACGAUAAAGAUUUUGAUUAAGUUAUCAUUGUUCUUGAAUGUUUAAGCUGUUAAAAAACGGCAUAUUGGCAUGUUCAUGCAGAAGUCGCGAGUCAUCCAUGCUAUUAGUUAGCCUCUGUUCUUUGAAGCCAUGAAGGCUUCUUCAUGUUGAAGGGUGACAGACAAAAUAAUGUCUGUUGAAGAAGGGGGGAAAAAGUAGGAAAGAAACAGGGAGACGUAGUAGCCAGAAAUGUGCCAGUGGCGAUGUCUUUAAGCACCCAGGUCCAGCUCUAGAUCAAAAUUUAAGAACUUGUUAAUACUCCAUUAUUUUGUAUCUGUUACAUAAAUAAAAUCUCCUUGAUCAUAGCAUCUUUAAGCAAUUUGGAAGCUGUAAAUUCUAUAAAUAUAAUAGCAAAGAACUUUUGUAUAGGUAUGUUAGGACAAACUUGUUUCUCAGAAUCUUGGACACAUCUCUAGAUCAAACAAUCUCUUCUCUUUCUGCUUGGACCAAAUAAAAGCAAGUGAUUCCAGCCUUGUUGGAUAAAUUUGAUUUCGUCUGGCAUUUUAACCUGCAGAAAGUUGCAAAAAGUUAGCUUCAAGUAUAUUUAACUGCUGCUGAUCAUAAGAUGCAGCUUUUGUGCAGGAGGCUCUCAUUUUAUCAGAUAAAACACUUCAUCACAGUACAGCUGACAAUGGAACUCAACAACCAAAAGAUCACAGAAGAUGCCCUCAGUUUUAGGUACAGGAGCUAAUAAUCAAAAGUCAAAGCAUUUUACAUUUUUACUGAGACCAACAUGUCCAAUAGACCAAAAUUAUCACAAAACUUCAAAGAAAAGGAUUGUUGUGCUGCUAAGCAAUUUCCAUGCCCAACUCAAUAAAAGAUGGACUACCAAAUCAAAGUACUCCUACAACCAGAUUGAACCUCGAUACCUUAUUUUAGAGAAUGAAUCAAGUCAACUGUUCGAGCCAGAUACGUAAAACUCAACACAGUGCUGUGGAAUCAAGCAUCAGAUGAUGGCUCCGGUGCCUUGUCUGCUUGCUCUUCUACCUUGGGGUUUUCUCCCUUUGGUGAGCCAGUAGUGCCAUUAGCUUUGGGAUCCUCCGCUGGUGUUGCUAGCUGUUUUUCUACAGCAGCAGUACCACCACCACCAUCUUUGGCAAGCUUAGCUGGUGAAACGGGCUGUUUGCCUGUAGCAGUAGCACCAACUUUGGCACCUUUGGCUGGUUCUGGUGCAGGUGGUGGUGGAGGUUUCAUGUGUGGUGGGGGAGUAUGUUUCAACUUGACCAAUAUCUGGCGCAUCCUAGAGAUAUCGGUGGGCUUCCCAGGCUUAGGACCCUGGAUAACAGCGAUUGAAGGUUUCUUCUCCUGCUCUUUCUUCCCUCUCCUCUUCUCAAUGUUGGCUAUCUCAUGAGGGAUAAGCUCUGCAAUUGCUUUCCAGUAUUGUUUAUCUACAUUUGCAUGGAACUUCUCCUGGUUGGCUAGAUAUAGCUGAUCACAGACAAAAGAAAACUGCUUAGAGGACUUCAGAUCAUAAAUGUAGCAAAUCUUAAAAUUCAACUAAAUAGAGGGACCAAAAGGUGCAAGAAGAAUUAUUUUAACCUUUUCUCGUUCUCUGUUCUGUGUCUUGUUUGUUUCACAGUUCAAUUUCCUUUUCUCAUAAAAAGCUCGUUUGUAUUCUUCAGCUUCAGCGAUAAUCUCGUUUCUACGCUCUUUUUCCUUUCUCUCUUUCUCCUCAAGUUCAAUGGCAUUUUGGCUGCAUGUUUGACAUAUUACCGAAACAACUUGAAACAACAGCAACAAGAAUUCUAAAAUAGAGUAUUAAGAGUAUGCAUCGAAGACCAUUCUCAAGAACUUCUAGAGCAUGUUCGUUUCGAUAUGAAAAUAACCACAUUAAGUUAUCCUAAACCAGUUAUGUUAACCUUAAAGGGUUAUUUUAACUUGAUAGUCCUGACAAAACGCAUGCAUGGAAAUCAUGAAAAAAUGAAUCAUGUUUGACAACAAGCAAUACAUAUGCAAGAAUUCAGAAUUGACUAGUUUACAACAAUAUAUGCCAGUCAAAAUUAGUGGUUGCAGUAAUGUCGUCAGAAAGGUCAGCAGACAAACAAACAGAAAAGUAAGGUCCAAAAGGUAAAGAUUAUAAGUGAAACGUGACCUAUCAACAAAAAAGAAAAUACAUCUUAAACCAUUUAUUUGUAUGAUCUUUAAGCCAAAAAAAACUUUAUUAUGGAUGUCUGACAGAAUAGCAAUAUAGUUAGAUUAGAAACAACUAGAGAAGUCAGAUAUGUCUGUCCAACUAUUAGGAAGCAUCUAAGAGACUUCCACUGACACUGAACACCUUAAACCAUCUAAUAGAACUGAUAACAGCAAGCACAGCCAGAAAGCACCUUAAACCAUCUAAGAGAUGUCCACUGACACCUCAAAAGGGAAAAGCAAAAGAUCAUGAAGAGUUUUGCCAGCUCUACCAACCCUUUAUGGCAGGUAGGCACAUAAAGAAUAAUAAGCAAUGGAAAAUCUUAUUAGUCACAAGUAUGUUCCUUGUUAUAUUUCCAAGAAAAAUCCAGUAAGCAGAAUCCUGGUUAGGCGUGUCAGAUAAGACAUCAUGUCUACAUGAUGAAAGCUGCAAUUUACAGCAAGAAAGAUUGUCAUGGUUGCAAUUGAGGAUUGGUAGAAAAGGUUGUCUAAAAAAAUAAAGCAUCUUCGGACUCAGUUUGAAGCAGUCAAAAUUCAACAUUGAGAACAUAGCUUUUUUCUAUUUUCAGGAGAAGAUUGAGAACAGAAUUAAAUGCAACAACAAGUUCUUUUCAGUUUCAAGACCAGGCCUUAUCCAGAAUCCUUUCGGACCAAAAGGACUUUUGGACCCUAAGGUGAUCUGGAGAGAGCCUAAAGCUUGGAUUUUGAAAAUUAUGCGAAGUUCCUAUUCCUUUUAACAGAUUUUGGACAAGGACAAUAUGUGGCACACGAUUGGAAAAGAGAAAAGAUGGUAAGCUUACAAAAGAUGACAAAUCAGAAUAUAUAUUUUCAAGUACCAUACUAUAAUAGUAAAGGUCUAAUUUGCUCUAAAUAAAACUAGAUACUGGCAGAAGAUCCAUGUAGCUGGUCAUAAUUAAAUGGGACAGUACAUCAUGUUGUAUUUAUCAAUGAAAAGAAUCUCAAAACUUGGAAAAAACUGAUAAAUUUGGUAAAAAGUUUGAAAACAGAAAAAUAGUAGCGAUUCCUCACAUUGAUAAAACCAAUAAAAGAAACAGAUCCAAAGACAAUUUGGUGAGAAUGAUAGUAGAAAAAUUGUCUGAAUUAGAAUCCAAUUAAAAAGACUAACCCUGGCUGAAAAAAUAAAAAGUAGCUCAAUCAAACUUCAGAUCACAAUGACUAUAACAAGAAAAAACCUUUAUCUCAAAUUGACGCGAAUAUAUAAUUAUUAAUCAGAAAGAUAUCUGACCUUAAAUAAGGGAAUUAAAGAAGCAGAGAUCAAUGCACCAAAGAGAACCAAGCAAUCAAACUAGAAGAGAACCUAUAAGCAUGUAUAGCAUCAUGCAAUUAGAUCUAUCAUUCUAAAAUAAGUUCCAGUAACCCCAAUUUCAUGAAACAACUAAGUCAACGCAAUUAGAACAUAGGCAAUAGAAUGAAGCUUCGAUCUAAAAGACCAGAGGCUCACCGGCGCCACUCGCGGAGGAGGAAACCCUCCUCCCGCAUCUGAUCCGGUUCAGGAAGGAGCGGCCCGUCCGUGAUGAAGAUCUCGCCGUUCUCCUCCCCGCCGUUGGCCACUUCGUCAGCCUCCGGCAUCACGAACGGCGAGGGCGAGGACGAGAAACCGUAACCCUCCGGCGAGGCCGACAUGCUCCCGCCGCCGUCAUGGUGGAUGGGGACGUCCUCCGGCUGGAACCCGUACCCUCCUCCGCCGUCGGCGGAGGCGGCGCCGGGGAACAUGUCGUCGCUGGCUGGGUCCUUGGCGUGUUCGUCAGCGGCGAAGGAGGAGUACGCGUCGUAGCGCUGGGAGGGGAGGCGGGGGUCGUAGCCGAGGGACCCGUCGUCGAAGGGGCGGGCGGUGGCUGACGCGGGCGCCACGGCCGCCUCCUCCUGCACGCCGCCGUUGCUGAACUCGGUGUCGAACUCGGACGACAUCUCUCCGAUGGCGCUCUCUCUUCCCCUUUCUCUACCUCCUCCGUUUACUUGAUAUGGGUUGUUGUUGUCUCUUCUCCUGCGAGAUCGGUCGAAGAGGAAGGUCGUUUGGCGAUGGUUUGACUGCAAUUUUAUGCUGUUUCUAAAUGACCAGUUUGCCCUUCAGGGGGAGGGAGAUGAAAUCAUGCGCGAAUAGGAUGACACUUGGCACAAAAGAUCAAAUUUCAUUGUCAACAAAUUUAUUAUUUAAAGAACACGUGCCUCGAAAGGGGAGAACCAAAAGGCUAAUUGUUUAUAUUAAACAUUUGAGGAAAAUAUAUAAUUAAACAUUUAUAAUAACAAUUUACACUAUGAGGAGAAGAUUUUGCAUGAGAACAAAACUCAUUUAAUUUUUAUUAAUAAAAAAUAGAUAACCUUUUUUUCAUAAUGUAUAUGAAAAUUGAAGAAGUUUCCGAUGUUCAGGAGAAGUUUCUUAUGAGUUGGAUUGGACAAUCCUGGACCUAAAAAUUUUGAGAAAACUCAGUUCCCAAACAUGGAUCAAAUCAUGCUAUUUUAGCAGAAUUAGUAUCGUGGAGCUUUAUCAUGCACUUUUGUUGGAUUAAUCAUAUAAAAACAAGAAGAGAUGCAAUGUCUAUAAACAAACUAACAUGUUGGUUAGUGCACUAUUAUUUAACUCUCUAAUCUCAUAAAUAUUAUAAUGAGCGAAGCUCAGACAUCAUUCUGAUCUCGACUUUAGUUAAAUAUGAAAUAGAAAAAUCAUAAAUAAUAAUAGGUCGUCUAUUAGAAUGAAAAGUCAGGAGAUUAGGCUUUGUUAGUAAAGAUGGAAUAUAUAUAAAUAUAUAUAUAUAUAUNNNNNNNNNNNNNNNNNNNNNNNNNNNNNNNNNNNNNNNNNNNNNNNNNNNNNNNNNNNNNNNNNNNNNNNNNNNNNNNNNNNNNNNNNNNNNNNNNNNNNNNNNNNNNNNNNNNNNNNNNNNNNNNNNNNNNNNNNNNNNNNNNNNNNNNNNNNNNNNNNNNNNNNNNNNNNNNNNNNNNNNNNNNNNNNNNNNNNNNNNNNNNNNNNNNNNNNNNNNNNNNNNNNNNNNNNNNNNNNNNNNNNNNNNNNNNNNNNNNNNNNNNNNNNNNNNNNNNNNNNNNNNNNNNNNNNNNNNNNNNNNNNNNNNNNNNNNNNNNNNNNNNNNNNNNNNNNNNNNNNNNNNNNNNNNNNNNNNNNNNNNNNNNNNNNNNNNNNNNNNNNNNNNNNNNNNNNNNNNNNNNNNNNNNNNNNNNNNNNNNNNNNNNNNNNNNNNNNNNNNNNNNNNNNNNNNNNNNNNNNNNNNNNNNNNNNNNNNNNNNNNNNNNNNNNNNNNNNNNNNNNNNNNNNNNNNNNNNNNNNNNNNNNNNNNNNNNNNNNNNNNNNNNNNNNNNNNNNNNNNNNNNNNNNNNNNNNNNNNNNNNNNNNNNNNNNNNNNNNNNNNNNNNNNNNNNNNNNNNNNNNNNNNNNNNNNNNNNNNNNNNNNNNNNNNNNNNNNNNNNNNNNNNNNNNNNNNNNNNNNNNNNNNNNNNNNNNNNNNNNNNNNNNNNNNNNNNNNNNNNNNNNNNNNNNNNNNNNNNNNNNNNNNNNNNNNNNNNNNNNNNNNNNNNNNNNNNNNNNNNNNNNNNNNNNNNNNNNNNNNNNNNNNNNNNNNNNNNNNNNNNNNNNNNNNNNNNNNNNNNNNNNNNNNNNNNNNNNNNNNNNNNNNNNNNNNNNNNNNNNNNNNNNNNNNNNNNNNNNNNNNNNNNNNNNNNNNNNNNNNNNNNNNNNNNNNNNNNNNNNNNNNNNNNNNNNNNNNNNNNNNNNNNNNNNNNNNNNNNNNNNNNNNNNNNNNNNNNNNNNNNNNNNNNNNNNNNNNNNNNNNNNNNNNNNNNNNNNNNNNNNNNNNNNNNNNNNNNNNNNNNNNNNNNNNNNNNNNNNNNNNNNNNNNNNNNNNNNNNNNNNNNNNNNNNNNNNNNNNNNNNNNNNNNNNNNNNNNNNNNNNNNNNNNNNNNNNNNNNNNNNNNNNNNNNNNNNNNNNNNNNNNNNNNNNNNNNNNNNNNNNNNNNNNNNNNNNNNNNNNNNNNNNNNNNNNNNNNNNNNNNNNNNNNNNNNNNNNNNNNNNNNNNNNNNNNNNNNNNNNNNNNNNNNNNNNNNNNNNNNNNNNNNNNNNNNNNNNNNNNNNNNNNNNNNNNNNNNNNNNNNNNNNNNNNNNNNNNNNNNNNNNNNNNNNNNNNNNNNNNNNNNNNNNNNNNNNNNNNNNNNNNNNNNNNNNNNNNNNNNNNNNNNNNNNNNNNNNNNNNNNNNNNNNNNNNNNNNNNNNNNNNNNNNNNNNNNNNNNNNNNNNNNNNNNNNNNNNNNNNNNNNNNNNNNNNNNNNNNNNNNNNNNNNNNNNNNNNNNNNNNNNNNNNNNNNNNNNNNNNNNNNNNNNNNNNNNNNNNNNNNNNNNNNNNNNNNNNNNNNNNNNNNNNNNNNNNNNNNNNNNNNNNNNNNNNNNNNNNNNNNNNNNNNNNNNNNNNNNNNNNNNNNNNNNNNNNNNNNNNNNNNNNNNNNNNNNNNNNNNNNNNNNNNNNNNNNNNNNNNNNNNNNNNNNNNNNNNNNNNNNNNNNNNNNNNNNNNNNNNNNNNNNNNNNNNNNNNNNNNNNNNNNNNNNNNNNNNNNNNNNNNNNNNNNNNNNNNNNNNNNNNNNNNNNAAUAUAUAUAUAUAUAUAUAUAUAUAUAUAUAUAUAUAUAUAUAUAUAUAUAUAUAUAUAUAUAUAUAUAUAUAUAUAUAUAUAUAAAAGGUAAAAGGCAGCCACUGCAAACUCAAGUAAUCACAAACCAAAAAUUAUCAUGAAUUAGAUAAAUAGGGUCAUCUAGAUUUACCUUCAACUCUUCUAGUGCCACAACAAUUUUCUUACACAGUGGCGUGUCAAAGAGUAUGAUGACUAAUCAACAAGCUAGGAAUAACCAGAAGCCAUGAACCCAGCUUUAGUGUCGGUGAAAAUGCACCUCAACAACAAUCAGGUGAGCUACAAAUAGUUGAUAAACCUGAUUGCAUCAAAAAGGGGAAAUUUUGAUUUAGUUUCUAUGAAGUCUUUGAACGAUGAAGAACAAGAACGCCAAGGAUAAACUGUUUAGAGAUCAUGGGGUGGAAAUGUCAAACAGAGAUAAAAAAAUGAUUGCUUCUAUAGCACAGAGGAUGGAAAGCGAAGGAGAAACAGUUGAGAUAUCAUCAGGUGGAAGUGUUAAACAGGGAUAAAAAAUUAUUACUUUAUAACACAGAGGAUGGCAAGAAUCAAAUUCAUCAAAUGCUAAUAAAAUUCAUCCAUAUUUAUCCACAAGUCCAAUUAAUUACUUCAAAUAUGCAGCUUCUUGACUUUGAAUUUCCCCAAAACAGAGUUUUUUACAUGCAAGUAAACUGACACCACAGCAUUGAAAAAGCAACCCGUGUUUGCCUGGCAUUUCAUAGCAAUAAUUUCGGGAAAUCAUGUCACAAAUUCCAAAACCAUUUGCUUCUAAGUGGUGUUAUAUAAAUAUCUCCAAUGAUUCAACUGGAAAUGUCAACUUAACUGCAUGCAUCUCCACAAUCCGCAUUUAGGUCCAUUAUCCAAUUAAACAACCAAGAACCAAGAAUGCCUUUAAAUGAAGAGCUCCAAAUAGAUGGGAUGAGUACAAGUACAUCUAAUUGGACAUGAAAAAAUAUACCAUCAGAAUACUAAUAUUCAAUUAGUGGAUUUGUGAUUCAUUAUAGUCAGAAAAUAUGAGGACCACAAAAUCAUUUCGUCCGAGGACUUAUGUUGGGUCAAACAACAGAAAACAACAAACACUUUGACAUUAUGUGAAAUUACAUAGCAUCCACAAUAAGCUCAUCUUUUUCUUAUGCAGGUAAAAAGGUAAUAUUUCUCAACUUUCAGGAGGCUACCCUAAAAUUUCUCGAGACACAAGUAGGUUCAAGCAGCAGAGUACCUUCUUUAUUUUGAACUAAGCUCUAUACUCAUGGAUACGCAUCCAUUUUGUAGAAGACCACUUAUUUCCUUUGAUAACAGGACAUCCAGCUGCAAUAAGUUUAACAACACAAUUACCAUCUCAGUAACAAAGCUGGUAAGUUAAACUUGGCUGCAGACAGCUAGAACAGUCUGUAAGAAGAUUGUGGAUGAAUCUCUGAAGUGAAACAGUUCCAAAAUCUAAACUUGAUUUAGCUGAUCAAACACUUAACAACUCACCGUGCAAACUAGAUGGAUCCAAUGUGGCAUCUGGCCUCAUGCUCCAAAAGAGUAAUGCAUCUCCCAUCUUAGGUUUCACAGAAAUACCCUUCUUUGCACAGUCUGAUAGCUCAUUAUACCCUGGCAAAGAGCUACUAUUUACUUUGGCAGAAGGAAAUACAGUUUCACCACCUUCCUCAACAUCAGAACUGAGGAACAGAAAUGGUUAGAAAAAAAGAGAAAAGAUGUUAGAACAUUUUUUUACAAACUGUGUCAUUUACUGACAAUGUUAUUGGCCUCUGAGUAUAAUAUAGGGUGUGAUUCUUACAGAUACAUAAGUAGGGUAGCAAUACGCUGACCCCCAUUCUUGGUGUUGAAUUCGUCGAGGAAGUAGUCAAAGUGCGGUUCAUAUUUCUGACCAACUUCAUAAUGGAGAACCUGAAGUCCCUCACCAUUUUCUGUAAGAACAUAAAGCCAAAUUCUAGGUGAAAGAUAAGAAAAAAAGUAAAAACUAACACCUAAGGCAAAUGCUACUUCAAAAGAAACUAAUACUACGGUAGAGAUGUAUAAUUUAUAUUGGUUAGAAAAUUAGUGGCAUGAUGAACUGUCUAUUUACUAAGGUGCUGGAACAUACUACUUCUAUCACUGUAAAAGUCAGCCAAUUGUAUACUUUUUGAAUUUGACAUUGUUUUUCACUGAAUAAAUGUUAUAAACUUAGAAUAUUCCAGGAGUGAAUCAAACAAAUGCCCUACAAUAAAAUGUUAUCAAAAUAGAUUGAUGAUGUUUAAAAUCCAGUACUACACAAUUGCAGAUUCCAGUCGUGGCAUCUCACUAUAAAAUGAGAAGUACAAGCAUUGCGACUACAUAUCAUAUCUAGUCAGCACACACAAAUUACAUAUAAAUUGAAAGCAACAGUCAAAAUAACAUUUCUUACCGAGAAAAAUUCAUGCUUACUACAAAAGAUAGACCAUGAGAAAUCAAAUAUGUCUGUUAAGAUGACAUGAACCAGAUGAUUUCUCACUUUAAAAAGGAACAAAUGUAUAUUAGAAGUACCACGAUGUUUCAUACUAAGCAACUCAAUUCACAGAUAAUCUAACCCAAGACUUGCAAAGUACAAUGCUCCUCAGGCCCUACAAUGGCGGGAGUCAAUCUGCAUUGGGCUUCCCUUUCGUUCAUAGAAUCAUUUUGAUUAAAGAUGAUCACAAAAACCAUGGAAUGGCAUAUCAAGUAAAAGAAUUGCUUUUAUAGUACCCACAGACAAAGUUUUUCAGUUUGUAUAAUAUACUGAAUACACACCUACAGGUAUGAAGGUAUAAUCGGCUAUCCUUUUCUCGAUCGUUCGGAUAAUUUUGUCUUGUCCUCUUCUAAGAAACAUGCCUGAACUUGUCCGUACCCUGAAAAGAAAUUAGUAUGAUUGAAGAUGUAAAACAAGGAGACAAUGUCUGACAAAAUUAGAGCCUGCGAAAUGCAAACCUGCUGUCUUUACUCUGACCAGUAGCAGUAUCGACAACUGUUGACUUCUCCAUGUGAGGCUUUGCCAAUUCAGUCAGGUAUUCACAUUCUUUCUUGGACUAAUAAAAAUGAACACAAUACCAGAGCCCAUCACUUCCAACAGAAUAUCAUUGGCGAACCUUGCUAAAGGUAUUACUUGCAUAAUCAGACAGCUUUUAAAAGAUAAUUUGAGGUCACCAAAGCAAGAAUAACAAGAUAAAAAAGAACUUUUAGACCUAGAAUCACACACUUAUAUCUGGUUUUCCCAGGUCACCAUAUGAGAAGGAUCAAGAGUGAGGGUAAAGAAACAAUGUGUAAAACAUCUAGGAGUCCGCCGUAUUGGAAAGUUUUAUAUAAAUCAAGCAAACUUACACAAAGCUGUAAAAAAGAUAAAAAAGAAUGAGGGUAUGUCAAAUAUGGAAGAUUUGAAGCUAUGACCGAUGCAAAGGUAUGCAACAUGGACAGCAUUCAACGAACUCCCACCCAGGACCAGUAUAUGUAUCUACACGUAGAAUAAAAUCUUUCUUUUUCAACAAGGGACCAACCAACUGUUCAUGGUAUGGUAAAAUCAUGUCUAGACCUUAGGGCAACAACAUAUAGAACACUUGAUUGUGUCAAAGGCAGAAAAUGUGAUAUGUGAAAAAUCAAAGAAUGAUAACAACUGCAAGAACAGAUAUAGCAGGUCAGUCUGAAGUGUAUCAUCACAAGAGAAAGUUGGAAAACACCUUUCAAGACUAAUUUAGCAGGUAAUCUUAACAAAGAUGUGAGCGAGUUCCUCGGUGGUGGAUAUGGGUAUGUGUGGGAUUGGCAAAUGACCUUCUACCGGUGGAUUCCUUGUAGAGGGGUUGACAAAUAUGGUUUUGGUAUCCUUUGACUGAGAAGUAAUCUUAAGGUCAAUGCACAACCAGUUGACCAUGAUAUCGAAGGACUUGCGAGCAUUCCCACUGAUCAUGAUGUGAAAGAUUGAGAUAUAUUAGAAAGAAGCCGUCGGUAACCUAGUUCGCUCGGCAAUCUUGCAUCAGGCCAGAGAAUUUGACAGGACAUAAAUAUGUGAUCAUAAUUCAUUAAUGUAAAGCCUAGAUUAGGAGAGUCGCCACAAAGAGAGAGGUGAUAAAUAGUGGAAUUUUCACAUUUAUCGGAUCUAUAAAUGAAGCUAGUUUUUAGAAUUACUGCCAUUUUAAUUUCUCCCCAAAAAUUAAAACAGAGCGCAUUGCUUUUUAGGUUUGGAAUGACAACUAAAAUUGGUACCUUUCAACAGUUUUCUAACACGCAUUUCAGGAAAUCUAGGAGCAGAGACGGGAAUCAACAUGAACGGAGAAAAGCAGCGGAUGAAAUAUACCAACCAGAAAGUUGUGAUAUAUAAACGCCCUGGGCUCCCACGAGAGCACCUCCGUCCACUGAUCCCCCCUCUCCCCCAUCCCAUCCCUCCUACAAAACCCGAAAACGCAAUCAAUGCUGACGGAAAGAGACCGCAGAUCCAGGGCGAAGCGUCAACAGAUCGGGUCGGGAGUGAAAAAGAACGCACAUCUCGUGGAUAGAUCGAUGGGGGCGGUGGUCUAGCUUGGGUGGGCCGUCGGAGUUCACGGGAAGCGAGAAGAUCCCGAGGGCGAGGAGCAUCAGGAGGACCACCGACGCGGUCAGGAGAGCUGCCAGGAUCAGCGUGAACGGGGAGGAUCUGCGGCCGGGAAGCUUCCGGGGGUGCCGCGCGCCCCUCGCCAUGGUCGCCGCCAGCACAGCAGCCACCUUUGGGAGAUCUAGACCGGAAGAGAAGAAGGCGAGGAAGACUGAAGCCGUCUGCGGUUCGCUUCUUUGUUCUUAAACUAAACUACGUCUUUUGAACUUUCUUCAAACUCUUAUAUUAUUUUUUUAAAAAAAAUACUUAAAAUAUUUUUAAUAACUUGAUCAAAGGUAAAUUUUCGGAAAAGAUCCCUUAGUCUCAGUUUUGGGAAAUUGAUGUGGAGCUCCCCCUUUUUAAAAACAUUUCUACAAGAGUCUCAAAUUUUUAAAAUAGCAAAAAUAACCUCCAAUAACUUUUUAUUUUUCUCCCCUUAAGAUUUAUCUUUCUCUCUCUAACUAACUCUUUCGAUAAAUCAACCGAUACUAUUAAAAACAUUUAUUAGAUGAUAUCAUAAUUCUAUUAAGGCCUUAAAACUCCAUCCCAUAAAUAUCCCAAAAUCCCUUCCCAUGAUUUAUAGCCUUAGAGAACAAAACCUGUUCAUACAUCUUAUCCGACCACAGACGAUAAAUAUUAUGGUGGCCAGAGUCAGAUGGGAAACUGUUCAUACAUCUUAUCCUGCUCCUACUUGCUUGCACUAUCUGUAAUAGAUAUGCCUCGCAGGAACUGAGACCAGAACUCUCCAACUGUAAAAUUAGAGUUUAUCACGAUUUCAUUUUGUCCGAAAAAUAGGCAGAAUUAUGGAACUGAUAACCGAAAUGCAUUGUAACUUUCUUGCAGCUUACAAUAACAUAGUAAAAAAAAUAAUAAUGUGGAAUAUGAGGAAACCUAAGACUGCAAAGAAAGGCAUGACAGCGUAAGAAAUCUCAGAUGACUUCCAACUUUAAAUUUGUACAACAAUGCUGGUUUCAUAAUUUGAUAGUCUAAAAAGUUCCGUAGAGAUAUCUAAGUCUUCGAAGCCGAUUGGUUCUCUUGCAAAUCAACCAAGCUACUGCAGAAGCGAACAAUGAUGCAGCCCCACAUAGCCAUUUAGCAAGCAACAAAACUGCAACAGGAUCAACCUAGCAAGUAGUAGCUGAGAAACAUUUGAAUGCAAGAGCUUCAAUAGCUAAAGAGACUCCAUUAUUGCAGAGCAGCUGGCUUCAUGUCUGUACUGGAAAGCCAAAAUUUUGAAAUGUUCUAAUUUCACCACCCCAGCCUGCAGUCACAAUCGCCAAUCCCCAGGCUGACAUACUUUGGGCUGUUGUGCCUGCACUGCAAAAAUCACCAUUGCAUUGAGGACUCUGUUUAUUAGCUGUCAUGAGCUCUUCAGGCCAAGUUGCAGAAGCCCUAUCGCUAAACCGAUUCAAGUUUGUAUUGCGAAGGGUACUAUGCUGGUGGGAAUCAAUGCAACGGCAAACGAGUGAAGGUGAAAGCUGGGGUCUGUUAGUCCCUGCCAUUGAUGGUGCAUUUGUUUGACAUUCUCCAUCGAGCUCAUCCUGUUUGUUGGGGCAAGCUCUCACCAUUUUCCUCGUACUGGUGUUUGGCCAAGGAGCAGCCACAGUCACACCCUUGGUGUGGAAAUAUUCGUAAGAUUGUGUCAUGGUGGUAGCAUCUUUGCUUUUGCUUAUUCGGGAAUCGUCAUAUCUCCAUACAUAGACAUGAGAGUCCUCACUAGCACAAAUCACAUGCUUUCCAUUAGUAGUCAAGCAAGCUGAUAUUUGGCUGCUUGUGUUGCGAAACCCUGAAACAGAAUAGUAACAUCACUCCAAAAACAAGAAUAUGUAUAACAACAGAUCAUUUACUUCCAAAUUAUUGCAUGAUUUAUGGCUAUUGGAGUAUCCACAAACUAAAAACAACUUGAGUCCAAUUUUAUGACAAAAAGACUUUCAUGUUCGAGAAUUGAUGGUUUAGCUUUCACCCCAAAAAAAAAAAAAAGAGAGCAGAAAGGUGAAACUUGUCUCACAAGCGAGCACAUUUCAUCAAGUAUUUUGUUCAAUCAUUGCAAUUGUGUUCACAAAUAUUGCAGUUAGCAUUUCAGAUAGUUAUCACAAAGAAAAAAUCUAUUUAUAUUCUCUUUUUAAUACGUUCUCCCCGACGUAAUAUCACAUGUCCAAACUCCAAAGAGAAGUUGGAUUUUGUGAUCAUUUUCCUGUGUUAGAACUACAUAUUACUGCCAAAGCAAUCUCUAUUCUAUUGUUCAAAACCUGAAAUGUAUCCACAUCCCUGACAUGACAAACUAAUACAUAUAUCCAAUAUCAAAAGAAAUGACAGUAACUUCUUAUAGUGAAAAACAAAGCUUUAAUUUUGACUGCAAAAAAUACUAAAUGCCUCAAAAGAAACUAAGUCUUUCUUUGUUUAGCUGUCAUUUUCCAAUUGUAGCAAUAUGGUUGUCCUUGUGAUGUCAACACAAAUCUUGUGACUGUUUUACUGUUUUAAUACUUUAAAAAUAAUCAAAAGAGUCUUUGUUUGUAAUAACUGAAUCCAACUUUUCAAAUUUCUCAUCAUUUCAGAGGAAAAAAACAGAUUAAUAACAUGGAUUAUGAUAUAUAUGAUUCAUAUUAGCAUUAGCCUUAAUUGGUAAAAGGACAACGCCAUGGAAAAAAACUCGCAAAUACUAACUGAAGUAGACUGUUUGAUCCUUAAUGAGUUGGUAAAAUAUGAUUGUUUUGCAAGAUGAUGACUUUAGUAGAAUAACAAUGUUUUGGUAGAAUAUGAUUGCUGUGCUAGAUGAUGACUCCAAUAAAAAAACAUUUUUUCUAAAUAUAAGCUCAGAAAGGCAUUCUCAUGCAAGAUCUGAGAAACUCUUCAAGAGUUUAAUAUGUGGGUUGUUAUUCUUUUCUUUAGACUAGUUAUUAGCAACGAUUUAAAAAGGCGCUCGGGCGCUCGCCUAGGCGCUCGGGCGAGGCGAGCGCCCGAGCCCAAGCGCUGGGCGCUUCGGGCGAGCGCCUGAGUUAACCAAGGCGACCGGGCCAAGAUUUUAGGUCUGGUUCGAUCCUGGUUCGAUCUAUAAUGGUUAGUUGGUUCAAUCAAACCAACUAAAACUGAUAUAAGUGACAAACAAACCGUAACCCUCGCCGCUGUCGAUCCCGUUGCUCGCCGCUGUCGCCGCUCGUAAACGCUGCCACUGUUGCCACUCGCAAACGCUGCCGCUCGCGCCUCUCGCUACUCACCGCUCCUGCUCCCGCUGCCGCUGCUCACCGCUGUCGCUGCUCGCAAACGCUGCCGCUGUCACCGCUCCCGCCUCUUGCUCCUGCUCCUGCUGCCGCUGCUCGCAAACGCUGCCGUUGUUGCCGCUCGCGCCUCCCGCUGCUCGCUGCUCCCGCUGCUGUCGCCGCUCACCGCUACCGCUUCCUCUUUUCUCAGUCAGCAGGCUCAACAUCCCUUUACACUUCCUUUUAACAGUAUAUGUAUACUGUAUACUGUUAAAUGUUAAUAUUAUUAAGUUUAUUUGAAAUGAUUAAUUUUUAAUAUUGUUAAUAGAUUAAUAAUAUAUUAUUUUAAUUUUAAUAUUGUUAAUUUUUAUUUAUUUGAAAUUAUUGCUAGGUUUCAACAUAAAUGACAAGUGUACAGAGCAACUCAAUAGAGUCUCCAAUGGCAUAAAAAAAGAUCCUGCAUGGAAGUAUAAUUAUUUGAAGGAUCCGAAAAAUCCUAAUGCAGUGACUUGCAUAUUCUGCGAUAAGACUACUAGAGGUGAUAUUUUUCGUGCAAAACAACAUCUAGUAGGAAAUUUCAAGAAUACAACAGCUUGCAAAAAGUGUCCACCUGAGGUAAAAGAAGAGUUGCUGAGUUAUAUGAAUGAAAAGAAGACACAAAAGAAUGAAUCUUACAGGAAUUUACCAGAAGACAAUGUUGAACAUCUCAGGGAUGAAGAAGAAGAUUAUUUUAUGAGUAUUAACCCAAGUGGAAAAAGAGUAUACGACAAAAAAAGAAAAGAAGUUGUGAGUACUAAUAAGGGUAAAAAAGGACCGAUGGAUCUAUAUAUGUUUUAAGGAUCCCAAAAACAACAAGGGCAAGCAGGAGGCUCAAAAUUUAGACAAACAAAUAUAAGUGAUGCUUGUGAUAAAGAAAUAAGAGGAAGAACAAUUCAACACAUUGCUCGCUUCUUCUAUCAGGCUGGUCUUCCCCUUAGUACAACUCGUUUAGACAGUUUUAAGGAUAUGAUUGAAGCUAUUGGAAGAUAUGGUGCAGGAUUAAAACCUCCAAGUUAUUAUAAGAUGCGAGUUCUAUUGCUGCAAAAAGAAUUGAAUUAUACAAAUGACUUACUAAAGGGUCAUAAAUUAUCAUGAGCAAUACAUAGUUACUCUAUUAUGUCAGAUGUUUGGACUGACAGGAGGCGCAGGAGUAUAAUUAAUUUUAUGGUUAAUUGUUCUUUAGGGAUUAUGUUUGUGAAGUCAAUAGAUGCUUCAUCUUUUGUAAAAUCUGGAGACAAGAUAUAUGAUUUACUUGACAACUUCGUGGAAGAAAUUGGAGAACAAAAUGUCGUUCAAAUCAUAACCGACAACGGAAGCAACUAUGUUUUAGCUGGUAAUAUUCAUCUUUUGAAUUUGUUAAUUAUUUUAUCUUCAAUUAAGUGUGUUAAACUCUUAAGUCUUAUCAUUUUUGUUAUCCUUUAUCUCAGGUAAAUUGCUUGAAUAAAAAAGACAACACUUGUAUUGGACUUCAUGUGUAGCACAUUGUAUUGAUUUAAUGUUGGAGGAUAUUGGAAAGAUCUUAGAAAUCAAGAAAACCUUAGAAAGGGCAAUUUUUGUUGUUGGAUUUCUUUAUAAUCACAUUGGAGCUUUGAAUCUGAUGAGAGAAUUUACAGGGAAUAAAGAAUUAGUGAGACAUGGUGUCACCAGAUUUGCUACUUCAUUCUUGACAUUACAGAGCGUGCAUCGUCAAAAACAUAAUCUGAGAAACAUGUUUACCUCUGAGAAAUGGGUGACAAGCAAAUGGGCAAAAGAAGAAAAAACAAGAGGGUUGUUGAUAUCAUUUUAAUGUCAUCCUUUUGGAAUCAUGUAGUUUAUAUAUUAAAGGUAAUGGACCCUCUUGUUCGAGUCCUUCGAUUGGUGGAUAAUGAAAAUAAGCCUACAAUGAGAUAUAUUUAUGAGGCUAUGGAUAGAGCAAAAGAGACGAUUAAAAAAUCUUUUAAUGAAAAUGAAGAAAAAUAUAAGAAAAUUCUUACAAUCAUUGACGAAAGAUGGAAUUGUCAACUUCAUCGUCCCUUACAUGCAGCAAGAUAUUAUUUGAAUCCUGAAUUCUUUUAUAAGAUUAAAUUUGUUAGAUUUAAUGCAAAAGUUUUGGGUGGGUUAUAUCAGUACGUUGCAAGAUUUGUUCUCAGCCUUGAGGUUCAAGACAAAAUUAUUCAUGAAUUAUCUUUAUAUAAAAAAACCGAAGGUCUUUUUGGAAUUCCAAUUGUCGUUCGAUCCAGGACAAUUACGUCUCCAGGUAUUAAUAAUUUGAUAUAAUUAAUUUCAUAUAUAUUAUGUUACUAUAUUAUUGCUAAUAAUAACAUAAAUUUUGCAGCUGAAUGGUGGAGCCUAAUAAUUUGAAAUUCUACCCCGAACUUACAGCAAUUUGCUAUCAAAGUACUUAGUUUGAUAUAUAGUGCUUCGGGUUGUGAGCGAAAUUAAAAUGUCUUUGAGCAUAUAAGGAUCACUAAAUAUUUUUAUUUUAAUUAAUUUAUUUAUUUAGAUAGAUGUAUUAAUAUAUUUUUAAAUUAUAUGACAUGACAGAUUCACUCGAAGAGAAGAAAUCGAUUGGAACAUCAACGAUUGUACGAUCUUGUUUACAUAAAGUAUAAUCAAGCUUUGAAGGCUCGUCAUGAUUUGUAAAAUAGAUUUGAUUCAAUCUCAUUGCAAGAUAUUGAUGAUUCAAAUGAGUAGUUAGUAGGAGAAAUGGGUGCUAACUUGCAAGAUGCUGAAGACGAGCUUGUAUUUGAAGAUGAUAGAUUGACAUGGGGAGAUGUGACAAGAGCUUCAGGUGUUGGAGAAUUACAAACAUAUACAAGACAGAUGUCAAAAAGAAAAAUGAGUGCAAAAGCAUCAAGCUCGGCUCCUACUAUUGUUGAAGACAUAGAGAAUGAAACAUAUCUUGAUGAAAACGAAGAAGUUGAAAGACAAGAGGAAGAAGACGAAUUCAAUGAAGAUGAUUUGUGUGAAAAUGACGAUAAUAUUGAUUAUGAUGAAUGAUUUUGAUGUAAAAUUUUAUUGUUUUGAAUUUUGAAACCUUUUGUUAAUGUGACAUUGUGAUUUUGUAUCUUAGAUUUUCUUAAUUUAAUAGUAUAUUUUUAUUUAAAAUUUUAAAUAAUUAUAUUUAUUAAUUAUAUUAUAUAUUUUUAUAUUUUAGCGCCUCGCUUCUCUCAUGCGAGCGCCUAGCGCCUCGGGUGUUUUUGGACCUUGGCACCUUUUGACACCUAGCGCUUUUUAAAUCACUGGUUAUUAGGCAACAAGGCAACCUCAACUGGACAGAUAGGAAUUUGCUAAGAAAUUCAGUUAUUCAGCAUUCAAAUAAUUAUGACAUUACUUGUUGUGCAUAAUCUAAAUAAGGCAGUGAUUCCAAAAAUUCUUCCACUAGGUAUCAAAGCAAAAUAUUUUUACCUUUAAAUUUGUGGACCAGUUCAUCACCAUCAAGAACCCUAAUUCGUGAAUCUGCAGAUGUUACUAGCACCUUUGAGGAAUUGCCAGGGGCAAACUGUUGAAUACAACUAAUCAGAAACCGUAGCCGUAUCCUAUCUUAUUCUUCAACAGAGAAGGAAAACCUCAAAACUACAAAAAUCUUCAAUAAACAGUUUGCAGAUUACACCAGAAUACCUGGAAACCAGUGAUUUUCUUGUGUUUAGACUUCCCUUUUCUGCUUUGCAAGUCAACUUGAGUUUUCUGAAGAAGCCUAUUGUCUAAGAGCAAUUGAAGACAAUAAAACCAUUGGCAAAUGAAGACAACAACAGCUGAUUUGAGACAAAUUCAAACAAAAAUGUAGAGUAUUAAUUGCUUCAUACCAGAUGUGUCGUACAAGUGGCAAGUCCCCUUGUGUGAACCAACUAGAGCACCCUGCAAGAUAACAAGUGAAAGCAUUAUUUAAAACAUAAAUAAAGACACAAUCAAAAAGCAAACUUUGAGAAGUAUGUCCUUUAAUCGGAAAAAAGAUGUUAAUUGUUAAGUCUAUGAACCUGGCCAUCAGGGGUAUAACAAGCAGCAGUGACCAUCUCAUGCAAAUCAUUCCAAUCAACAACUUGACGUUCUGGAAUACUCCAUAUUCGGACUUUCUCAUCAAGAGAACCACUGAUGAAGUAUCGGUCAUCAACGGGAUUAAACUGAAUGCAAGUUACUGCAUAAAGCCAAAAUCAAGAAACAUCAUAGCAACAUAAGCAAAAUCAGUAAAAGCCAAAACACCAAGAAGGGAAGAAAAAGAAAAAAAGAAAAAGAGAGUAAAGAAUGGGAUAUCAUUAAACAUGAUUUCAACUUACCAUAGUCACUAUGUGAGAAUACUUUUAAACAGGAAUUGCUUGACAUGUGCCAAAGUCGAACUGUUUUGUCCAUUGAAGACGAAAGCAGAUACUGAUAAAAUUCAAGCAGAUAAAGCAUUUUACAAAGCAGUUUUAUAAUCAGUGUGGCAAAACUCCUAAAGUCCAAACAUCAUUUUCACAAACACGUACUGCCAGGGAAACUAAAUAGCGCAUAGAAGAAAUACAAAAUUGUAACAAGAGCUUUAGCUACUUCUAUCAGGAUUUCUGGAACUAACAAAGUAUAUGAUUAACCUGCAGCAUAGGUGGUAUCUGUCAAUGGAAGUAAUAGAAGAGAGGUACUCUACCAGACAAUCAAAUUUAUUUUAAUGGCAACAUAUUUUAUAAGUUUAAUAUAACUUCUUCAGUGACACAAGAAAUACAUAAGGCUGAACUUAUCACCAUUACAAGAUUGCUUGGAUGCAACCUGAGUGUGAAAGGAUGGAGUAAUGGAAAAUAGUCUCCUAGUGUGCAAAUGUAAGGUGGCACAUAAUUUACACUCUUUCCAGACCUUGCUUUGGUGAAAGCCUUGUUCUUUUGAUUGCCCUUUCAGAGACCCUAUACUCUUCAAAGGAAUUUAUCAAAGCACAACCAUAUCAGAAGCAUCACGGAGAUAGACCAAAUGUGUAAAUUUAAAUUUUCUCAAACGUGUAUGAAAAUAGGCUAAAAAUAAUGCAUAAGGUUGCACAGAGGGCCUGUUUAUGUGUCAACCAAUUACUAUCUUAAAUGCAGACAACCAUUAUCUCUCAUAUCAGAGGAGAUCGAAAACUCCAAUUCAGGAGGAAAACCAUCAUUCCAAUACACCCUUAGCUAUUAGCUCUCACAAAACUUACUAAGCAGUGAGGCAGUUCGAUUUCCCUCCUUAUAGUGAGGCAGUUCGAUUUCCCUCCUUAUAAGUAUGCAUAUUUUCACACUCCUCAAAACAACCAAGCAGCUCACAAAUAUUUAUAUAUAAUACACAUUCACAAUGGCCUAUGGUGGAUUGGCAUUUCAAUUAUGAAAUUACAGUUUUUAUACGUCUUCCACGAGAUGGUGCUAACAUGUAUUUGCCAAAUACUUUUAGAAAUGUCAAUCAUAAAUUACCCUCAAAUAAACUUUAAACAUUUUUAUGAUGCUGGAUAAACAUGUCUUGUGAUGACUUUCCCUUAUUGUACAGCAUUAACACAUCACUCUUUAUAUUCAUACUUUCAUAUUCAUACAUGAUUUAAUAACUGAAUCAGAUCAGGACAGAUUUUGAUGGCUUCAGCCAUCUUACAAAUAUGCAUCAACAAUUUUAUCAACUAACAAUCUGUUUCGGCAGUUUGAAUGGCUUCUGUUAAAUGUCACAUUUAUAGCUAGGGAGACCCUAUUCGUAUCAGCGAAUCGUGGUUUACAUAAAAUUGAUCAAAGUAGAAAUCAUGGUUACAAUUUCUCUAGGAACCAAUGACCAAAAAUCAAAAUACGAUGUGAGAAUUACUUGCCCAUAGAGAAAAAUCAGCAUGUCAUCCCCUUUAAAUUCAUUCAUGAUUACCAAAUUGACCAUGAUGAUGACAAUUUUCAUACAAUAUGACAGUUAACAUGUUCAUUACUUAAGAACCUAUGUUGAUCUGAAUGUGCUAACAUCAAUCCAUUUUCAUGAUCAACUUUCACAAGAAUAAAGCGACUUUUAAUUUUGUUGAACCUGCCUAACAAUGAGCAGCAAAAUUGGUCCAAUAACAAAGGUAAAACUUUUGCUCAUGCUCUAGCGGACCAACUUACUACACAUAUCAUCACGAUUCACAAUUCACUGGUAAAUGGUAAUAUUAUUCCAAGCCUUCAAAAGUCCAAUUGAACCAAACCAUGGAAACAUAGAUCGUUAUCUAUAGCUUCGUGAUCUCAGCUACAAUCAAAUUACUAAUUAUUAUAAGCAACAGCUGGGUGUACUUUCACAAAAGUCUCACAACAUUGGACAAUAUUUCAAAUUAGUAGUUCUCAGGAUCCUAUUAACUUAAAGCAUGUAUGACUUUUAUCAGAACUUACAUUUUUAAGAAAUUAAACUAAUAAAUUACAUGAUCAGGAUAAACUUUUUUAUGCCCUGCAAAUUCUUUUUCUGACUGCAAAUAGGUUUAUGACUGCAUUCCAUCAAAGAAUCUUUCAAAUUCUAAUACAGAUUUAAUACCAUGUAUAAUUACAAUAUUCACAAAUAAUAUAGUUAUUUCUAGUUCUAUUUGUCAAUAAGGAACUAUUAAAUUCAUUCGGCUUAUAGAUUUCACAUGAAAGAAUUAAAAGACAAUUCUGGUUCCAGAUCCCAGGUUGUUUAAAAUCCAUGAACAAGAUGAACAAUUUCUUAGUACUUUCUAUCAUCAACCCUAAAUACUGAAAACUAAGAUCACAUAUCUUUUGCCUGAAGACAAACCUAUUUCAUCCAUAUGCAGAGAUGUAAUCAAAGAAAAUAAGAUAUACCUGCGAUUUGGACCAAGAGAGAUCAAGGACAUCAUCUAGGUGUCCUCGGAAAGAGUGCACAGGCUUCUCUGACAGAGAAAACAAAUAAUCUGGUACCACCAGAGGGUCCAAACACAGAGAUUUCCUACUGCCCACGACCUUUGCUCUUCUCUCCUUUUCCCAGUGGUUCCUCUCUGGAUUAGCCAAAGACAAUCGCUCCGGCAAACCUUCGAUAACCGACACAAUAGAUGGAUUGCAACUAUCAUUCCCCCAUGAAGCCUUAUCAUUCAGCAAAUCUCCCAUGCUGUCAAUCUCCAAGACCUCCGACACAUGGAUGACUCGAUCCUCCCCUGCACUGGCCAAGUAGCGCCCAUCCAAGCUGAAUUUGAUGCUCCAGAUGGACCCAUUAUGCGCCUGAAGUUCCUGGCUCAUGAACAACCCACUGAGGUCUUUUUGGGACUUACCAUACUGCCGGACUUUAAUUUUCUUGAGGUCAUGACGGAGGCAAUGGGAACCGUCCAGGCUAUCAUCGGUGGCCGAGCUCGGCCUCCUCCCUCCCUUCUCUGACGAAGAAUCUUUCUCAUCACUGCUCCUGCGGUCGCGGUUGUGCCCUCUGCCUACCAUGGUCCCAGCUACAUUCUUGAUGCUUCUGAGCCAACUUCCCCUCUUCUUCCACCUCGACCCUCCCCCGGACCCACCGCCACCAGGGCCUCCGGGGUGGCCGCUGCUGUUGGUGGAGUCCUCCAAAUUCUGACGCCUCAUCAAUUCUUGAACGAUGGGGGAUUUCCCGACCCACAACUCGAACUCCUCCACCGUGAGCUGCCGUCCUGUCCCGACCUCGCUGAGCGUGUUCCACAUCCCGUCCUCGCGGAACUCCUUCACCAGGAAUUCCCUCCCGUCGUCGAGACUCUUGAUCAAGUAACGGGGGUCGUCGCACAAAUUUUCUCCAUCGACCCGGCGAUUGCUCUGGGAGACCUCAAGAAUCCGAAAUCUCGCGUCGAGAGGCGGCUUUCUCGAGAACUGCUGCUGGGUUAGGGGUUUGCUCCGUGGACCAGGAACCACGGAGCAGUCGGAUCGGGACCGGGCAUUUCCGGAGGGGAAGGCAGGGAUGGGGUCAGGGGAGGAGGCGGAUCUACCCAUCCCAGGGUCCCGGAUCGGAGCGAUGGCGCCGGUGGGUCCGGGGCGGGAGAGGGCGGGGUCGCCGGCGAGGCCGAGGUGGCGGAGGAGGCGGCGGCGGCGCUCCUCGACGGAGGCCGGUUCGGAGAACCAGACGUCGAGGGAGCGCAGCGGGGGGAGGCGGAGGCGGCCCCGGCGGCGGUGCCCGACCACAGAGGACUCAUCAUCGGAGGCGGAGGCGGAGGUGGAGCACGACGACGACAGGAUCCGGUCCAAGGACUCAUAGAACUCCUCCUCUUCCUCCUCCUGCGGCGAACCGCUGCUGGUCGUCGUCAUAACGGGCAUUCGGAUCGCGAGGCGAGGGGGCAAAGCGGUUCGGAGCGGGAUUUAUAUGCCACGACGGAAGGAGAGGGAAGGAGCGAAGACCGAGGGGAUAUGAUAUGAUGAUGCUGUUGCUGUAGCUCGUAGUUGUUGUUGCCGCUGUUAAGGGGGAGGAGUAGCCGUCGUACAGUAGUCGUAGUAGGUGUGUAUACCGUAUACGCCUUCAAAUGUACAGUGCGCCCAAAUCGAUAUGCUUUUUUUAACUAAGGAUUUCCAGAGGGUUGCGUUGUAAAUAUCCCUGAUAUGUAUGAUAAAAGCAAAUCAAAAAAUUCUCUCGGAAAUAUAGCCAGCUACAGCUGUUAUGUAGGCUGCUACCAUAUGACGAGCGUGGGGAAGAAAAGGCUGCAAAGGCAUCAACCAAAAACCAGUUUCUUUUACCCAUGGUGGUCAAUAAUAACUGAUGUGGUACAAGCACCACUGCAUGAUUGAGACCACUAAUGGCAGAGCCAUCCCAUUUAUAGCCCUUUCCUCUCUCUCGCUUGAUUGAUUUUCUUACCUCUCCCUGGCGUGCUCUUCGUUCCACCCACAGCAUUUGGAUCUCCAUCAUCGGUCCACCAAGUUUUGCACUAGUGGCAGAAGCAGAAGAACUCGGCUUGUUCUUCGGCUUUCAUGAACCGAAGCGUAUCGCAAUAUACCAAAGCUUUGGUGUUGCAGUGAUCAUAGCCAAGGGCCGAGCAGUGAAAGAAGCUGGUCAUGAUUUUAUGGAGUGCCAUGGAGGGAGGGGUAGAAUUAUGGAUCCAAAUUCUUCUUUCCGACAACAACUAGUCCUCUUGGCGUCCGGCCUGUAUAAUUUUAGGAAAAGAGAGAUUUCCGACGGAAGAAUCAGCAGGGACCAUGUACUGUUGGUCACCACGUAUGAAACAUGCAAUAAUCACCUCCACCAUUAACCUCUCUCGCAGCAACCAGAAGGUAAAAAAGCAAUGCCUCCUCCUCCUCCUCCUCCUCCUCCUCUUUUUUCAAAGAUGAAGGAUGACAAUGGAGGGGACCAACAAUGGCCAUCGACACUUCGAUAUUGCUCUAGGUAAUCUUAAUUUCCCAUUUGUGUCAUCCAAUGUCUCCUCACCUCCUCCUCCUUCUCUUCCAUGGUUACAGUUUUUACAGGGAAGGAGUAAAACCCGGAUCUUUGGUGACACUUAAUCAACACCUCAAGAAAACAAGCGGGCAUGCUGCUACCCAAGGAAUAACUUUUGACUUCGGAUCUCUUUCGGUAGGACCCGGCGCAGAAUACUGUGCCAUGUAUGGGAAUGAAUGGUGCAGUGGCCAGAGCAGAUGGUUCUGAGGUUUUUGAUGGUCGUCUUCUGCGCGUGCAUGCACUAGGGAAUGAGCAAAUGGGCAUAUAUUUAGUGCAGAGCCACAGAAGAACCGUGGGUUGCAGAGUUAUAAAAGCAUGGAGCAGAAACCUUAAGGCUUUGGAUGCUAUAGAUUUGGCUGGGGCAUCAACUGGAAAGAGAAGCUUCCUUCUGAACUCCAAGCGAAUGGUGGCUUCUGCAUGCUGGGUUCCAUACUGUCAUGUGCAACCACAUGACCUGUUCCUACACCCACUUUCAAAAGCUGUGAAGCUAUGAAUGAAUCAUUGAAAAAGGUAGCUAUAAACUGAUACAUUUACUUAAUCCCUUCUCCAUCGUUGGUGAACACACAUCUUCCAGGGAGAAAAAGAAGAACUGGUUGAUGAAGAAAACCCAAGUGUUUUACGUGUCUCCUUCUACAGUGCACUGGGAAUGAUCAUUCAGUGGUCCUAUCAUUUGAAUCGAAAUGUACCAUUCCAGCUGUAACCGUGGCCCUAACUCUCAAAGAGCAGGGACCAUGAAGAUCCUCGAGCUCAUCUUUUACCGUCACUGUAAGAACACACCGUCCUCUCGCUGUAAAACGCAGAAACCACGCAUCCCUCGUGAACUUUCUUCAAAGAAGCAAGAUCAAGAUCCUGAGAUGAUGGAGAUGAGAGAGAAUCUGCAGCGAUGGAAGCUUGCUUUGCAUGUAUCGCUGUCACCGACCUUGAUGCCCUCCCCUCGUUGUAGUUUUCACUGCCACUAUUGGCACGCUUGUGUACAGUGUUGGAUGGUACGGGGAUCGCAAGUUGAUGCUGCGAGAGCGAGCAGGCGUGAGCUUCUGGGCUUCAUAUCAUUUGGAGAAUGCUCUAUCUUUCCUUAGUUUAUAUGUGUAAUUAUACCCCAUCCCUCUACCUAUUAUCUCAACUAUCAUGACAUCAUACCUGCACGACUGCAGCUGAGGUCUUCUUCAAGUUAAAUCAGCAUGUAUGAACAGAUAUAUACUGAUCUGGAAAGUGUGUUGAACCUUUGGGGUUUUACAAUGGAAUAAUGUGUUAAUCCUUACACUGAAGUUUUUUAGGCUUUUUGAAGGCAUGUUUCUACUAAAAUUUAGAAUAUAAUAAGUACAAAGAUUAUUGAACUUUGACGAGAUUUUUAUGAUUUUGUAGAUAUAACUUUACUAUCUAUGUGUCGUAAACACUUCAUAACAUAAACAUGCCACAAUUUCUCUUAUAACUCUACUGUAUCGUGGUAGAGAGCACUAAGAGUGUUGAUGAUAGGGUGUGCAAGGGAUGAUAGUAGUAUGGGAUGUAGGAAAGANNNNNNNNNNNNNNNNNNNNAGUAGUAGGAAAAAAAAAAAAAAAAAAAAAAAAGAUAAAAUCAAAAUUAGAGAGAAAGUAAACCUAAUGUGAUAAUAAGCCUUAGCCAUCUAAAGCGGUAACAGGUGGGUGCUAAUGGAGAGGAGAGAAAGGGUUUCCUGCCGAGCCUCAAUGGUGGCAUCAUCGUCGAUGGCUUCUUGCCUCGUCACCAUAGCAAGAGGUCAUCAAGAUGGUCAUGAUCGUCAUCUCACUUGCUAGUUAUAGAUAAUCGUCAUCUCACUUGUUAGUUAUAGAUCUCACUUGCUAGUAAGAGGUCAUCAUUAUGAGUAAUAGCACGUGUAACAUACAGUCUUUUUGCAGUUUUUUGCUUAUAUAUAUAUAUAUAUAUAUAUAUAUAUAUACAUAUAUAUAUAUAUACAUAUGUGUGUGUCCAUAGAUUUAUACAAUCGAAAUUGGAUCAUGAUGAGAUCACGACAAUGAGAUUGAUUCGUCUUUCAUCACAAACCUUAAAGAAUCCUUAUCAUAAGUUACUCGAGAGGGACAUCGAAAUAACCGAAUAGACUAGUGUACUAUAUACCCAUCCAUAUAAUGGAACAGCUAGUCUCAUAGCUGCUCGUGUAGGGACACUAGGAAUACAAUGCAGGUGCUCCUUGGAGAAUGAGUUCCCUAAUUGAUUCGCUUACGGAAUGUUGGAUGGUUGAUAAUACCUCAUUAUCAAAUAAUGAUUCCAUCGACCCAAUGGUGUAUUUAGUCCCUAAACUUGAGACACCAAGGAUGUCCUGCAUGGAUAAUCCACUCUUUGAUACCGAACUUAUGUUUGGAAGUUCCAAAUCUAGUAUAACCGAUUAUUAGGAGUGAAAGCCAACCUUACAAGGGCUAUUGAGUAUCUAUAGAGAAUCAUCCACUAUCGAUGUCAUAAGAGGAAUAUCUCAUGUGUUCUUAGUCAGAAAAAUCCUUAGCUAAGGUCAUUUGGAUUGAGAGAGAAAGAGUUCUUUGAGAGAAUUCGAUUAGAGCGAAACUCGAGUAGAAACCAUAUAAGUCUGAUAGCACCUACUAGUCAUAGGUGCCCAGCAAGCCAAUCAUGUGAGUGAUGGCAUGUGUGACAUGGCACACAGUCUUUAUUAUUAUUAUUAUUAUUAUUAUUAUUAUUAUUAUUAUUAUUAUUAUUAUUAUUAUUAUUAUUAUUAUUAUUAUUAUUAUUAUUAUUAUUAUUCUCUCACUUUAUAUUGCUUAUUGCAUACAUAUAUUGUGAUGUCCAUAGAUCUGUGUAAUGAUAAUUAAAUCGUGAUGCAAUCACAAUAAUGAGACUGAUUCACCUUUAAACAUGGACCUUAAAUGAUACUGGUCAUAGGUUACUCGAGAUAGACAUCGAGAUAACCAGAGAGACUAGUGUACUGUAUACCUGUCUAUAUGAUGAAGGAGGCUGGUCUCAUAGCUGCUCAUAUGGGGACACUAGGGAUACAGUGCAGGUGCUCAUUGGAGAAUAUGUUCACUAAUUGAUCCGCUUAUAGAAUGUUGAAUGGUUGAAGAAACCUCAUUGUCGGACAGUGAUUCUAUCGUCCCAAUAAUGUACCUGGUCCUUAGACUUGAGACACCAAGGAUGUCAUGUAUGAGUACUCCACUCUUUGAUACUGAACUUAUAGGUUUGAAAGUUUCAUAUCUAGUGCAGCCGGUCAUUUGGAGUGAUAGCCAACCUUACGAGAGCUAUUGAGUAUCGAUAGAGGAUCUGAUAGAACCCAAGCAAGGUUAGGUCCUACUCAACCAAGAAGCAACUAAUAAAAGCCCUAUGAGAUUAUAAUAAACUUCACCUAGUUGUCUCUAUCCUAUAAAGAAGAGUGGCUAUGGUUUAUAUUUGGGCCUUUGGGAUUCCUAGCCAUCACCCCCUUUUAUUGGGUCGGUUGGCUAGGGUUGAGGGCAAAAAGGGUAACUCACUUAGGAAGCAGCUCUUAGGGCUAGGGUUUGGAGCCCUAUAUAAGCAUGUAGCCUCCAUCUCUUUGGGAAUAAGAUCUAUCUACAGUUGCAGUCAUUUAGCCGACUUUUAGGAGGGUGGAACCCCUAUAGUGUUCCAAGGGUUGAUCCCCCUCAAAGAUCAAUCUACAUAUAAUUCCUCUAGGGUAAUAUCAUCUGGUAUCAGAGUAGCGAUCUUGUUGCUUUUACUGCCAUCCUUAUCGCCCACCACCAACUAAGUAAUUUCCACAAUUGCUCUUGAUAUCGCCAUCUCCACCGUCAUCUUCCGUCGUAGAUCAAAUUAAUCUACUACUGUCACCUCCAAUUGCAUCAGAGAUCUAGUAGUCUCCUAUCACCAAUAUCUUUUGUUACUAUAAUUUUUCAUUAAAAAUACUAAGAAGAAGUCCUUUUAUCUAUCUUGUUCUAUGAAUUCUUUUCGCCGUAAAAGUUAUCAUCUUUACGAACGAAGGAUUGCUGUAGAAAAUUUCAGUAGCAUAUUGUUGCCUUUAACCAAUCUAUUUACUAUCCUUUUUGAACAAAAUUUCUUAUACACUUUAUAGAUCGUCUUGGCUUCCAUCUGAGAUUGAUCUAUUAAGGAAUUUAUCUCUAAAUAUUCAUGUGUUGUAAAUUUUCGUCGUAAACUACUGGAAUACUUUUGAUGAGAAUUAUGUUAUCGCAACUUGCAUCAAUUUCCUUGCUAUUAUACUGCCAAAAUUCUUAUACACUUCAUAGAUCGUCUUGGCUUCCAUAUGAAAUUGAUCUAUUAAGGAAUUCAUCUCUAACAUAUUCUUGUGUUGCUGUAAAUUUUCAUCAUAAACUGUUGGAAUUUUUCAACGAGAAUUCUGUUAUCACAACUUACACCAAUUUCCUUGCUAUUAUACUGCCAAAAACUUCUUGAUCAAAUUUAUCAUCAUUGUUGUUAUCUAAAUUGAAAUUUUACUGUCAAAUUCCCUCCUCAAAUCUCUCAAUUUUUACUAAAAAUUUCAUCAUGAAACCGUUCUUUCUUCAAUGACAAUUCUGCUCUUACAUACACCAAUCUACCAACCCUUUCGGCCACCACUUCUCUCAACCGAUACAUGCUUUUAACCCGACAACAAAAGAGAGAUCUUAGCAUUACAAAUUUGGAGGCAUAUACUAUGGUAUCUGAGGAGGCAAUCAAUACUAAAUUUGAAGCCUUCAAGAUGCGAAUGGAGGAUAAGAUUCGGACUCUCUUUACCGAAAUCAGUUUGGGCCGACCACCGAGCCCGAAGAAAUUGCAUCAAGAAAAGAACUCUGCCCGAAAAGAUGACUACCAGGAGAGGGAAGGCUUUGUGACUGAUCCCUAUUAUCCAAUCAUAAGGGUGAACUUCCCUAGAUGGGAAGAAGGAGACUCGAUUGGUUGGAUCUCACGCGCGGAGUGAUAUUUUCGGUACCACAAAAUCGCAAACGCAUCUAUGGUGAAAAUUAUGGCUAUACAUCUUGAAGGGGAUGUCAUACAAUAGUUUGACUAGUUUGAACACACUCAUGGAGUCCUCUUAUGGCGACAAUUCAAAGAAGGACUGCUGAUCCACUUUGGACCAACCGAUUACGAGAACAUUGAUGAACAACUAGCAAAGAUCUGACAAACCUCCACCAUUCAGGAGUACCAAACUAGGUUUGAAAGGUUAUCUAAUAAAGCUCAUGAUUGAUCUAAAAAAUAGCUAUUGGGGACCUUUUAUUGAGGGCUUGAAGUCGGAGAUCUGGGGAGAAGUUAAAGUGUGAUAACCGUACACGCUUAUGGCAGCCAUAUCUUUUACACGACUUCAAGAGGAGCGAUUGAACCAUGAAGCCCGGAGAACUAGGGUCACUCCCCAACCACCCCCUACUAUCAACCGAGCCCCAGCACCAAAAAAGUUGACAAGAGAAGAGCUUCGGAAGCGAUCUACGGAGGGGUUAUGUUGGCAUUGCGACGAGCCAUGGAGCCGCGAGCAUCAUUGUAAAAAAGGGAGACUUCUUGUGAUUGAACUAGUAGAAGAAAAUGUCAUUGAACAUCUAGAAAAGAGCCUUGAAUGUGAAGAAGAAGAUGUGAAAGAAGAGCCACAAUUGACUGACUUUAUAGUACAUGCUGUCACAGACUUAGCUAGUUUUGCCUAAGUCGUGCGGCACCCUUGCGUGUCCGUCUGCAAAGGUCAGCCUCUCCGAAGCCUCCCAUUGUCCCUUAGGACCAACAAAAGAGAGAACGGGUUAGAGAGAACACCUCAAUCGGGAUCCACAAGCAAACAUCUCCGAAAAACACUUCAUAAACAAUGCAAAUUUCAAACAGACUUUACAAGCUCUGAAUAGUUGCAUAACAAAGGGUAAAAUGGUCCAUUACAGAUCGAAAAUCUCUCACACGUGUCCACAUGACACAACCUUUAUUUGUAAGCCUAAAGAGGCCACCAACCCAACUAAAAUGGGACUAUUAAGCCUUCGGUCGUCCCUCUACAUACUGUACAAGGCAUGAACAUACCAAAAGAUACGGACAUACAUAAGCAUUACAUCAAACAUCUUGUUUAGAAGUUUGUCUGUGACAUUCUCCCCCACUUAUUCCUUCGACGUCCUCAUUGAAGCCUUUGUCGACACUGCAACUCCUCGCCUUUGCUAAGUUUUAAAUCUUCUGCUCCAGCUACAAUGCGUCUCUUAGCUCCCAACUGCUCUCCGUUGUUGUUUUUUAGUAGUCGAACCUUUGAUCUGCCAUGCUGCUUCAACUCGCCAAUGACUCUGACUCUAGUGUGGGGUUUGCUAAGUUGUGUUGAUCCCUGUUGGUUCCUACGGAUCCUCUAGAUGAAGGAAAUGACCUUCCUUACUGCGCUAGUCUCUCAAAUGCCUCAUGCUGCUUGAACUGGGUGGAUACUUGUUUGAGUUUUAAUGAGCAUCGUCUCGUAAACUUCUAAAGUUUUGGGUCCUUCCUCCAUAAAAUUUACUUAUUGACUCUUAUUUCAUUUAGUUGUCACAUCCAAGUAGGUUCGCAUCACUUCCACUUUCGAUUGGCAUUUCGUUGGGAAAUGAAGCGGACAAUCUACUCUCAGUAGCACUGAUCACCGUUGGUGAGGAUUUGACAACUAUUGUCUUCCAUUAUCUUUGAAGGGUCUUUGAACUUGUGCAGAGCUCCUCUACUGGAUAGAUAAGAGAAUUGGGGUACUCAGUUUCGCCCAUUCUCUUAAUGGUUGAGAAGGCAAAGGUUACUUGACUUCGCCCACCUCCUCCAGGUUGUACUCCAUGCAUCGAGCUCGUUACUAGCCUUCGCCUACUCUUUGCUCACACUUCUGAAACACUUUAAGUGUUUGCACUCCUUGCGUUGAGUUAGUUACUGUGAUUCACCUUCUCAAUGCCAUCGAACUUCUGGAAUGCAGGAAGUUUUCACCCCAACUUGGAGUAAUUCUCUCAUAGGUUUGGUCACCUCUGGGAUUGUACCGUCUUCUCCAUCAACCCUGCCGCCUACUCCACUGAGUAGCAAAGGUAUAGCACCGCGUACUGCCUGCUUCGUUCCUUGGUUAUGCACUCUUGCAUAACCCGAAGUCCUUCACUUUCGGCUAUCUUGAUGAGAAGCACAUUGACACCGGUCUUACGAAGUUCUUCGGCCUCUGCCCUUCAGCCUUGUCUCAAUACUUAGAGAUUGCCUCUGCAUUCUCCACCUCCUCGGCCCCUUUCACGACCAAGUGCUCUCCCUCCAUGAGAGCAAGGGAUCAAUGUCUUUCACGGAAGUCCCGCCUCUGCGGUACCAUGGCGCUGCCAUGCCCAUGGCCCUACUAUCCGUCGUCUCGUAUCUGCAUCCAUUUUCUUCACAAUCAGUAGAUAUGCCUCUGUGGCACUCCUCCGAGUCCACCUCCAUUCUAACUAAUGCUUUGUUUUGGGUAGCUAAGUCCUUCUGGACUCGUCGUUGCUUCCUCGCCCCUUUCGACCCCUUGCUUCAACACAUCUGUGUUCUCCAAACAGUCUGUUUGGUCGAUGGAAAGAUAGAUUGCAACUCCCAUGCAUGGCCUCUGCCAUCACGUUGUAGGGUUUGCACCGAUUCUGUUCUCCUUAGCUUCCUUGGUAGCAACAUUCGCUUACUCGGCCUUGUCCUCUGACUUAUCGGGCUCCUUUAAGCGAAUAUGAGCUUUUGAGCAGUGCAACUCUCCAACUGCUUCGAUCAUACCUCUGCAUGAUCAAGUCCCUCCCAUGGAACUCACUGGUACUUGCAUUCAAACUUUUCCCUUGGUGGAACCCAGCCCCCAUAUGCUGAUGACCAAGGCUUUCAUCCGAUGCAAAAUUCGAUGCACGCACGGAAGACCCGCCUCUGCGGUACCAUAGCCUUCACUCCUUGAAUCCAUAGCCCUUCUUGCCAUCGUGUUGUUCACCGAAGUGGAGCUUCCAGUAGCUCCCGAUCAUACCUCCAUAUGAUCUAGUCUCUCACGGGACUAUGUCGUGUGUAUCGCAUUGCCACGAACUGUUCCACCACGAUCCGCUACACCAUGUCGCCUCCUGGUGACAUCUCCAUUGCAUUCUGAUCCUUGUGGAAUAAACUCGAAUUGUGAACCCUCCAUGUGUGGCCUCUGCCAAUACAUCGCAGGGUCUCUUCCACUUUCGAUUUUGUUCGCUCCUUUGGCAAUCGACCUUCAUCCACCUACUCUUGGGU
rnacentral:lncRNA from 1 species